rnacentral:lncRNA from 1 species
UCAAUCACCAUGUCUUAGAAAUUUUAUUGACAUUCGGGGAUUCGAGUGUUGUUUACACGCUUAGUGUACAUAAUAAUUUUUGAACCAGCGAGGGAAAUUGUGGCGACUAUGAUUAAUGAAGAUGACAUAAUGAUAGGUUUAGAAAAUAUUUUGUGAACUUAUGUGGUAAUAUUGUCGAAUAUCUGCGUAUUGGAAAUUGAUCUUUGCUUUGUUUUCUUUAUUUCUUUUUUCCGUUUUGUACCAGAUUAAAUAUUCAACAUUAAGUGUGUGUGUGUGUUUAUGUGUGUGUUUGUGUCUGUGUGUGUGUGUGUGUGUGUGUGUAAAAUAGCCAUCUGUGUACCAUACAUAACGUAUAUACAACAUUGCAAAGAAUGGGUGAAUAAUGUGUGGGUGUGUGUGUGUGUGUUUGUGUGCGUGUAUGUGUGUGUGUGCGUUUGUGUGUGUGUGUGAAUGAGUGUGUUUGUGUGCUUCAUCCAAUAAUAGACAAAUGGAUAUACAUUGAUAUAAUUAUGUAAAUAGCUAAUAAUAAAUAGAUGAAGGUUCAGGAAUAUCAAGAAGCACCCUUCAAGAGGUAGGCUUCGAUUCCAGUUCCAAUGCACAGUUACCAUGGGUAAUUAUCUCAUAUAAAGACUCCGAUUGAAUAAUGGGAAUGAAAUAGAUCAGAAUUGUCGGGAAGCUUGUCCAGUUCCAAUAUAUUGGGUUGUCCGGUAAGUUCGUGCCGAUUUAUAGUAGCUUAAAUUUCGACUUAUUUCAGAACAUGGUUAAGUCCAUAAAAUAGGAUUUCACUACACCUCAAUUUAGAGCACAGCUUAAGCUAAUUUUUUCGUGGAAGAAGAUUUAUGUUCCUAUAACCUGUGUUAAUUCUGUAGCCCUUUAAAAUGGAAGACAUUUUCGGCACCUGAUGCUUUGGGAACCAGAGAAAAAUUGCUGCAGCUCGACCGGGAUGUGUUACCCGAUCCUCCAUAUUCACCAGAUAUUGCUCCUUCGGAUUUCCACUUAUUCAGGUCUCUGCAGAAUAGUCUUAAUGGUAAAAAUUUCAAUUCCUUGGAUGACGCAAACGUUACCUUGAUGAAUUCUUUGCCAUGAAACCGCCUGAAUUCUGGGAAGAGGGUAUUUUCAAGUUAAAGUAAAGAUGGAGACGCAUUGUGCAAAAAAAUGGUUCAUAUUUGGUUGAUUAAAAAUGUAUUGGCAAGUAUUUAUUAACCUUUUUCUUUCUUUUAAAAAUCGGCACGGAUUUUCCGGACAACCCAAUAGACACCUGUACAUGUAUGUGUGUGUGUGUUUCCGCGCAUGUAUUUGUGUUUGUGUACAUGCUGCGUGACAACCGGUGUUGGUUUGUUUGCCUUCCCGUAACUUAGCAAUUUUUAUCUUACCGACCGAUUUCAAAUGUACCAGAGUUAAAAUAAAAUAGAAUAAUAACGGGGCGUAUGCGUUACUUAGACUGGACCCUUAAAGGUGGUGUUCCUGCAGAGCCGCAGUCCAAUGACCAAAGCAAGUAAAAGAAUAAGGAAAGGACCCGCAUAUAUACCAUAACAAAUAUUUUAUGAUCAAGUUGAAGAAAAUUCAUGAGGCAAUGUAGGCCGGACUCUUGCACAGUAUAAGAUCAAAUUGUUAGAUAAUUUGAAACGCCAAAAUAUUCUUUUCUACUCUAAGCACAAUGUCCGAAAUUUUGUGGGUGAGAGCCAGUCGAUUAUAUCAACCCCACAUAGACCCCAAAAUGAUGAGAACCAAAGGUACAAGAGAGAUAAACGAGGAGGGAAAGUUGAGAGAUUAAAAGAGAGGAGGUCAGGAAAUCUGAGAGAAGGUGAACGAUAAAAAGAAAUACAUACAUAUAUGCAAUUUUACCUUGUACUUAUUCUUAAUUCAGCCCUAGAAUAGUUCGAUUUUAACAGUUAUAUUUUCAAAGCUUAUAAUGGAAGAGACAAAGAAGCAUGUUCGGCAUAUUUUGCUUUGUGAUUUUAAUAAAAGCAACGACGCAACGGAAAGUGCGAGGAAUAUUUAUGCAGUAUAAAGGAAACAGACAAUAAACGUAAGCCAAUGUCAACGGUGUUACCAGAAAUUCCAAGCCGGAAACUACAGCCUAGAAGACGAGCCUCGACUUGGGAGAUCUGUAGAGCUCGACGAGGACGUUCUGCAAAGCCUGGUGGAAAAAAAUCCCAUUGUAACUGUUGAGGAACUAGCAGAGAAGCUUGUAUUUUGUCAUUCAACCUUUCAUCGGCACAUGCGUGCCAUAGCAAAAGAAAGCAAUUUAGGUCAAUGGGUCCCUCAACAACUUUCUUAGUAUAAUCCCGUACAAGCAGUGAAUGUGUGCUCUUCUCUGCUGACACGUCUCACGAACGAACCUAUUUUGGACUGAAUAGUGACUGGUGACAAGAAAUGGAAUGUCUAUAAAAACGUCAAGCGCGAAAGACAGUGGGUAGGGAAAGUAGAAAUGUUAAACGCCGAUGACAGUGGGCAGAGAAACACCAGCAUCCCAGGCUAAAGAAGGUCUUCACCCAUGCAAGGUGUUGUUAUCUGUUUCGUUGGAUAUGAAAGGUUUAGUCCACUUCGAACAUUUAAACCGAAACCAGACGAUAAGAAAGAUCUACUGCAAACAGUUUGAGCGGCUUAAGUCAGCGCCUGAAGAAAAAAUACCAUCUUUGGUUUCAAGAAGAAAAUUGUUUUUCCAUUAGGUUGAUGCUCGGUCACAUACAACGAGGAUGACAUUCCAAAGGCUGGAUAAGUUUGUAUUGCAAACGAUUCUCCACCCACCAUAUUCGUCGGUUACUGCCCCAUCUUAUUAUCAUUUAUUCUGCAAUCUUCAAAAUCAUUUGGAGAGAAAAAAUAUGAAUUCUGUAGGUGAGGUCAGAAGAGUACCGGUGGAGUAUUUUUCGUCUCGGACAAAUGCAUUCCGGAAGAGGGGGCCUUGCAAGUCUAACACACAGAUGGAAAAUGGUAGAAAAUAAAGGAGAGUAUAUUAUAGGUUAAAAAGAACUUUGCUUAUCUUAAUUUUGAAAAAUAUAAGAAGUAUAAAAAGACUGCAUUAUCUAUGGGAUGACCCAAAGCGUAUACACACACACAUACACACACACCACACAUACACACACGCAUACACACACACACCACACACACACAUAUAUAUAUAUAUAUAUAUAUAUAUAUAUAUAUACGUGUUCUACUUUGGAACAUUGAUUAAACAACAACGAAUUAGGAGUUUAAAACAUUUACAGAAACAUCAAGUCGAGCACCAGAAGUGAAGUGAAAAUCGCGUGCUUGAAGUAGUUGUUUUCGCACGUGUCGUUAAUGCAGGUAUUUUAAUCAGAACACGCACGCGUGCGCAGAAGGGUAGGCGUUUUCGUGAAACUUUCAUUUCAUAUUUCAAAAGAUAUUGAAACGGAGUAUAUUUCAAAAGAAAACCAGGCUCCGGUUAUCAGCUGAUGGUAGGAAAUAAGAAAGAGUAAGUACUGGAAAUCGCAGCCUUUCAGAUGGAACAUAUUAAAGAAUACUGUACAUAUGUACUGAGUCCUGUCACUCAUCUCUGGUGAUUCAACAAGUUUAUAUACAUACACACACACUCACACACACACAAACACCCAUAGACACAAAGACACAUACUCACACACACACACACACACACACACACACACAUAUAUGAAAUGACUACGUCACGGUGUAUGUGUUUUUAGUUAAAUGCCACAAACGAUUCGAGGAGAUUUUUUAAUGGACAUUUCAUGAUAAUUUUUGUCUCAUUUUCUGUCCAUGCGUAAAAUCUUUCACAAACACUUGAUUUCGUUGCUCUGGUGGUGGCGGCGGCGGUGGUGCUGCCGGUGGCGGUUUGGGCGGUGGUGGUCACUCUGCUAAUGGGGGUGAUGGUGCUGAUGGAGGUCACGGUGCUGGUGGUGGUGGUGGUUGCGGUUGUGGUGGUGGUGUUGGUGGCGGUGGUGGUGGUGGCGGUGGUGGUGGUAGUGGUGGUGGUGGUGGUGGUAGUGGCGGCGGCGGCUGUGGUGGUGGUGGUGGUGGUGGUGAUGAUGAUGGUAGUAGUGAUGGCGUCGGUGGUGGUUUUGAUGGCGGUGGUGGUCGUGGUCGUAUUGGUGGUUGUUUGUUUUGUUAUUGCGCUUGUAUAUUUCUUUGAUCAUACCAUCAAGUCUUACAUUGCUCUGCUAAAGAACGCCAUAUCUCUGAGAUUCCUAAUGAAUCAGAGUUUGAGAGACGUGCUGGAGUAUUUUAUAAAAUCUAAUGGAUAUCGAUAUCUCAAGUGAUAUUUCUUAAAGUAGAUGAUAUACGAAUCUAUAAUACUAAUAAUAAUACUACAUAAUAUACAUAACAUAUAGUACACUGAUAUGAAUUAAACUACUUCCACUAGUAACCGUUCAUUAUGAUGAUGAUGAUGUUCGUGAGGAUAAUGAUGUUUCUGCGAUAGUAUAUGUAACUGAUACUGUUGAAACUGUAGGUAAACACUUUGAUAAAGAAAUUGGCAUAUAACCAAGAAAGAUGGACAUAAGCACGAUCGAGAAAAUAUCAAAAGCAAAUGUUGAAAAUAUUUUUAAUGCAUUUUGACACAAUGUUCGGUGAGUUUGAAAAUAUAUUUUCACAGCGUCCCACCUUCGAGUAUUAGCAUCCUUUACUCCAGCAACCUAAUUUCUAGUCAAAUAAUAUUCUUCCGUCGGCGAUGCCCUGGACUACGAAACAUCACGUAGCAUGCUGCUUAUCACGAUAAAUUAUGCUCUUUCACUGAAACACACUGAAAUGCAAAAAUAUCAUAAUACAAAUAGAAAUACUCAUACAAACACACAUACACAUCUAAACACACAUUCACAUACAAACACACACACACACACACUUACUCUCUUUCUCCCUCUUUUCUUCUCUUUCCGUAUGUGUAUGUUUCUAUGUAUGUACGUAUGCGUGUGUUAGCAUCAAUCUAUCUGUCUAUCUAUCAAUCUAUUUAUCGGUGAGGCUAUAUAUUUAUAGUUAUGUUGAUACAAAUGAAUAUAGAUAGACAUGUCUGUUAACGGACGUUUAUAUAUGUUUAUAUUUUUAUGUAUUGUACAUACGUAUCUAUGUACUUUUAUGUGUAUAUCCGUGUGCAUAUGUCUAUAUCCAUAAAUUAACUCUCGAGCACCUACACGCCGACCCCCUAUCUCAACGAAAUCAUUAUUAUUAUCAUCAUCAUCAUCAUCAUUGUGAUUAUUAUUAUUAUUAUUAUUAUUAUUAUUAUUAUUAUUAUUAUUAUUAUUAUUAUUAUCAUUAUUAUUAUUAUUAUUAUUAUUCACUACUAUUGGCAUUUGCAUUUCUUGUUUAGCAGUCUUUUUAAUGACCUUUAUCGGCUAAUUAACCGAAAUAUUUUUUUUUCCCUUCUAAUCGGAAAAUACUAUGAGCGCUUCUUCGUUUCUUCAUACAGAUUUCGAUCCCUCUAUGAGUGCAUACGAUUGAUCUAAAUAAACGGUUCAAUACCAUUUAUUAUUGGGACAUAUUAAUUUGAGACCAUUGACUUUAAAUUUCCUUUCGAGUGUUUUUUUUUUGUUUUUUUGUUUUUAUAUUUCCUUUAUCUAAUAUUUUUUAUUGAUAUUGAUAUUUUUGUCACUUUAAAUAUUAUUGUUAGCAUCGUUGAUUUAUUUAUUCUUGUUUACUUUCCCUUUUACGAGUUGCAAUAUGUUCGUAGAGGAUUCAACAACAUGAUAGUGAAACAAACAAACCUACAAGAAAACAAAAUUACAAAAAGAAAAAAAAAUAUUCCAUUGAAAUUUUCUGUGAGACUUUCAGGCAAUUCACUGUUAUUGAAGUAAGAUUUAAUUACUGGCUUUCAAUGGAGAAAUAUUUUAAUCGAAACAGUGAAUGAGGUCGUAGUGAAUUGGUAGUUUUGUCUUUGAAUCUCAUUGGCUGUAGUAUUUCUAUCAAUGAAUGCGUGGAUUCAAAUCUCUUUAUAUGCCGUGGCCAUUAAACCAUCCUUAAUCCUUGCCCUCAUUUACCACCAUUCGCUUUCUCUUUUCUUAUUUGCAUUUUAAGUUCCGGAAUUGCUAAUUCAGCGUCACUGGUUUGAUUCCGGCUUAAACCAAAUUAUAGUUGUUUACGACACAUAUCUACAGUUUUAUAUCGUACUCAGUAACUUCGAGGAUAAAUCAGCUACACGCGCGAGGAUAACUUAUGACAAAUUGUAUGCAGGCAAAAAAAAAUGAUACAACCGGAUGUACACGGUUAGCAGACGUACACGUGGGAGUGGGUGGUUUGGUGGUAAUGGGGGUGAUUGGAUAGUGACAGUGUAUUUUUUAGAUCGAAGGUCUUUACUAUCAGCCAUCACUUAACGUCUGCGCAAUUCCAAAAAAGUGCAAUUCCAUAAAAAUACUGACGUUUAUUUACGUGGAAGAUAUAUGCAAUUUAACUAAAGGUUGUAUCAUAUGUACAGGAUUUCUUUUUGUUUAUGGGGAAAAUGGGAAAAUAAGACUGAAUAUUCAUCUCACGAGUGCUGUGUAGUAAGUCUAUAAAAUCGUGCAUAAAGUAUAUAAAAUGUAUAUAAAGUGCAUUAGGUAAUAAUCAUUGUAUUCCAAUUUCUUUAACUUUUCAAAGAGUAGCAGAUGAGACGGACACAACACAGGCUACGGUUUCAGGUUUUUUGGGAUAAAGUUUUCAGAAAUGACUCAAUAGGUUUACCAUUAACUUCGUGAAAUAUUCACGGGUCUCGCAAGUUUUUAAUGUUACAGGAGUAAUAAUGUUGUACAUCACUUAUGUAACAUCGGUUUCAAAUUUUAACACAACACCAGCAAUUUCAGUAGAGUAGCUUCUUUCAUUACGUCGACCCCAAUGCUCAAACGGUAAUUAUGUUAUCGAUCCUGAAAGCAUAAAAAGCAAAGUUGACCUCGGUAGAAUUCGAACUCGCAACGUAAAGACGCUAAGCGUUUUGUUCGGCUGCUUAAUGAUUCUGCCAGCUCACUGCCUCAUGCAAAACUUAUUUAAUACCAAAGGUGUUUAGUUACUAUCUAACGGUAGUAUUUUGAGAAAUUGUUUUGUUUUUUAUUAUUUAUGCCACCGCUUGAAAGAUUUUUUUAAGUUUUCACUUUUUUAUUGUUAUUUUUAUGUCUUUUCAGAGGCAAUUGAACACAACUUACGAAUUUACACGACCACGAUACAAGAAAAUAAAAAGAGAUUUAUUUGAAUUUCCAAAAAUUUCCAAGUCCAUAGCGCUUCGAGGGAGAAUCCUUUUCUAGUAAUUUCUGAAAACUGAAGGAAGUAAAAAUAUGCUAAUGAGCUGAUAGUAGAAUAAAUAGACUUUAUGAAUGAAUCAAUGAAAUAAAUAAACAGCCUUAGCACACUGAGAUCUUGUCAGCAAAGUGGAAAACACAAGAUUAAUGAAUAAGACUUACAACAGAUGACAAGAACAUAUCUAUGAAGAAACCUUCAACUUAUAACUAAUGAAUGACAGUUAGAAUAUACCUAAAGAAAACGAACUAUUUCAGUGAAAUUGUUUUAUCUGGAAUACGUACGAUGAUCCUGUGUGGAUGUUUUAACAUUCAGAAUAUACAGGGAUAGUUAGCUCUAACGACAGAUAAUACAUCUUCAAGAGACGAGAGAUUCUAUAAUUACUUGCAAAUAUAUUUCAGGACGUUAUAUAUGUGCAUAAAUAUACGUGUGAGCGCGUGAAUCUUUGAAUGUGUUUUGUGUAUAGAAAUAUACGUGAAUGUAUAAAUAUAUAUAUUCAUGUAUGUACACAUAUUGAGAGGUAUAGAUCGCGUCAACUAAAACGCUAAAGCUGACUGUUCGUUUAAUGUCCAAACCUAUGGAAAGAAAACGAAGUCAACAAAACAGGUAUUAACGUACGGAACAAUGAAAGAACUGAAAUAUAAUCGACAGCCAAUCAGAAUCAGCUAAUUUAAAGUUGUUGGACGUCAUUUGGACGCCUUCUCUCAUUGGUUAAUUAUAAGCUCAACUGUUUUACUAUGCCAUGCCCGCAACUACAAGGAAUCUCGUAUCCCUCGUCUUCCUAUCAGUCAUCCUGGUUGGGUAAGUAAUAUUUUUUUCCUCUUCAGCUCACAUGUUUCUGACAUGCCAUACUCUCCCGUUUGCAUUUAUUCAAUGGAAAUAUCAAUAUUUAUUUUUCUCAUUUAUAAUUCAUCGCACCCACAUAAGAUAUCGAUAUUGUGCAUAUUUUAUACAUCUGCAAGAGAUCUGGUCUCCAUACACCAGACGUAUUUCGGCAAAGAUAAAGAUGUCGACUUCUAUUUCAGUCAUUUCAGUGAUUUAAAAUCAAGCUUGAGCCAGAGUCUCUCUCCACUCUCUCACUUUCUCUCUCUUUCUCUUCUUCCUCCCCUCCUCUUCUCUCUCUCUCUCUCUCUCUCUCCCUGUCUCUCUUUCACUUAUUGUCUUCUAUUCUCUUCAUACCUUACGCAGAAAAUUAUACGAGUGUGUGUUUGUAUCUUUUGAUAUAUUAGAAUCAUAAUAUAAUAGAUUGCAUUAUGUCAUAUAUUACAUUAUAUUAUAUUAUAUUAUAUCAUAUUAUAAUAUAUUAUAUUUGUCAUUGUUUGCUGCAAUACAUCUAGUGACAAAUAUAUUAGAUUAUCAUCAUCAUUUUAAGUAAUCACGUAUUAUUUCACGCGAUUACUUACAGAAAUGAUGUUGAUAAUAAUAAUAAUAAUAAUAAUAACAACGAUAUAAUAAUAAUAAUAAAUGUCCUGAUGCAGUACCAGACAGUGGCUCUCAUGGCUUCUGAUCUUAACUGAUUGGAAGUGUUAUCAUGUACAUUGUUUUGUCUUGGUAUAAAAGAUGGGCUACAGCAAAUAUUCUGCUCAAUAGCACAGAUUUGCUUGUCAGUUGUUUAACCUUAACCAGUUGACCAUGUCCCUUAGUGGCUGACGAUAUGUGCAUAUCUGAUCAUGAGCAGACAUAAUGGGGGAGCAUCAUAGCCGUGUAUUGAAAGGAAUGCUUUGGGGUUUGAAUAAUACACCUUUGGAAGUGUUAUAAUGUACAUGUUUUGUAAAAGAUAGGCUACAACAAAUAUUCUACUCAGAACCAUAGAUUUGCUUGUCAGUUGCUUGUCCUUAACCAGUUGAGCAUGUCCCUUAGUGGCUGACGAUAUGUGCAUCGCUGAUCAUUAGCAUGGGUAGUGGGAUAACAUGACAGCCAUGUGUUAAAAGGGAUUCUUUGGAGUCUGAAUAAUUAAUCUCUGGUAACAUGGAUGUUUCGUUCAUCUUCAUUAAACAACCCUUAUUCACAAACCUUUUGAGCGGAAUGUGAUAUUCAACCCGAAGAAAAUUGUUGCUGAGCUCUCACCUGCAAUAUCACGUGCUGUUUAUCUUGAUAUGAGAUAACCAUCUCGUAGAUUACCAUGUAUGGGAUUACCAGUAGUAGUAGUUGAUUUUAUUGUUGCUGUUGCUCUACAACUAGAAGUAGUAGUAGUAGUUGUACCAACAGCAGUAGUAACAGCAGCAGCAGCAGCAGCAGUAGUAGUAGUAGUAGUAGGUGGUGGUGGUAGUGGGUGGUGGUGAUGGUGGCGGCGGCGGCAGCAGCAGCGGGAGCAACAGCAGUAGCAGCAGCAGCAGCAGCAGUAGUAGUAGUAGCAGCAGCAGCUACACCAAGAAGAAGAAGCAGAAGAAGAAAAAGAAGAAGAAGAAGAAAAAAAGAAGAAGAGAGAAGAAGAAGCAGAAGAAGAAGAAGACGUCAUGAGAUAAACAUUAAAGAAGAAAACGAGAACAGGCUCACAGUUCACGCAUGCCCAAUGAGGCAGACACCAACAAUAGUGAAUUGAUCAGAAAGGUUACCUGCUGGAGAAGAGACGGUAAAACUAGAGAACGGAAACCUAAGUUCCCAUGUCGAAGAAAAAAGGAUCUGUUUUAGAAGAGAAUUUUUGAAAACUAGAAAGAAAGGAAAAACAGAAAUAUAUGGAAAAGAAGAAAUCAAACUUUAAAAGAAAGAUUCAUUCGAUUUCUUUUGAUAGCAAGAAAAAUGUAAUAACGGAUGACAAUGUUUGUUGGCCAAAGAAAGGGAUAGUAAAGAGAAAAAACCUAUUUCUUUACUACCCACAAGGGGCUAAACAUAGUGAGGACAUACAAGGACAGACAGACGGAUUAAGUCGAUUAUAUCGACCCCAGUGCGUAGCUGGUACUUAAUUUAUCGACUCCGAAAGGAUGAAAGACAAAGUCGACCACGGCGGAAUUUGAACUCAGAACGUAACGGCAGACGAAAUACGGUUACGCAUUUCGCCCGGCGUGCUAACGUUUCUGCCAGCUCGCCGCCUUUGAAGUAAAGAGAAAAUACAGUGGGAGUGCUUUUGGCAGCACUAGAAUAAAUCCUGGGGUAAAUUGGAUCAAUAGAAUGACGGGUGAGCAGGAAUAGUUCACCCAAAUGUUGAGUGUGUAUGAGGAUUCAUUUGAGACUAUGGUUUGGAGAGUAUUGGAAGGCCCACUAAAGUCAGAAUAGAUAAAAACAAAGUGUAUGAUUAUUCUUUCAUGCCUGUACUUGUUUCAGUCAUUUGACUGCGGCCGUGCUGGAGCACCGCCUUUAGUCGAGCAAAUCGACCCCAGGACUUAUUCUUUGUAAGCCUAGUACUUAUUCUAUAGUUAUCUAUUGCCGAACCGCUAAGUUACGGGCCGUAAACACACCAGCAUCUGUUGUCAAGCGAUGUUGGUGGGACAAACGCAGACACACAAACAUACACACACACACACAUAUAUACGACGGGUUUCUUUCAGUUUCCGUCUACCAAAUCAACUCACAAGGCUUUGGUCAGCUCGAGGCUAUAGUAGAAGUCACUUGCCCAAGGUGCCAUGCAGUGGGACUGAACUCGGAACCACGUGGUUCGUAAGCAAGUUACUUUAUUUAAUUUUAUUUGCUAUAAAGGCAGUAUACAGAGUAGCUGCGGGCUGGACAAACACAUUAAUGAAUGAAUAUGAAAUAAAAAUAAAUAAAUGAGAUGCGAAACCCAACACCCGCCGAUUGGAGUUUUCUCGAAAACAUAUUUUCUUUUUUCAAAAGAUCAGUGAGGUUUCAAAUCUCUUACAAAAAGGAGGCACAAACACCUCUAACAUAACGUUUUUUUAAAAAAAAACCCAAACAAUUGAGGCUAUAAACCACUACAAAUAAUGCAGUAAGAUGAGGUUUCGAACCCUCUAACGGGGCUUUUUCACCUCCUACUCAUCGAUAUAUACAUCAAUAUAUCCAUCAUUAUCUUCAAUGCCGCUUCAGUUCCUGUGCCCCGCUAUUUCCCAUGCCCCAUUCAUGUACGAGGCAUAUAUAGUGUUAGGGCCAUCCGAGCAUAUGCGACAUUCCUCUUUAAAUCAUUUAAGCUUUUCCCACACGGAAAACCUUAUGACUUCCACAGCUAUCUGCGGAGGCCAUUCUGGAUCCCGUGUGAAGGCCAUAUCUACUGUCAGUUUAUGUUCUUCUACCAUUUUCCCACCUCCCCGCCCUUGUAGAAAAAGAUAAAUAAUUCUUCAUCUUUAAGGGUGGGGGUCGUUUCUUCUACUGCGGGUGGUACAACUUCGGAAUAUGCAGACGGCACAUCAUCGUCCACCUGCAAUGACCCGUUCUUUUUCUUUCUUUUUUUUUUCUUUUCUUCUUGACUUCGGGAGAGUGGAGCUCCUCCGCUUUGUCCGGAGUCUCUCCUCCAACUCCCGAAGCCUUAGGGUCCUUCGGCGGGCAACCAUUGUUGCCCGCUUUCUUCCUUUUUAAUCGUUUUUGGGUUGAGGAGGCUUCCCUUUGACCGGGUAGGGGAGGUGGCUGCCAGUGACUGUUCCAGGACCUUACAAUGGUCCUGGGAGCAGUUCUUUUUAAUGUGGCCUGAGUGCAGACACGAGUAGGCCGUUCGCAAGCAAGCUACUUACCACACAGCCACUCCUACGCCUACCGAUAGGGAAUAAAUAUUUCACGAAACAAAUACGUUGUACCAAUAGAAUAAGUAGACAUGAUUUCUUAAUUAAGCACAAUGCCAAAGUUUUGAAGGGAAGGGGUUAGUGGGUAACAUGACCCCUAUUAUUGGACUGCUACUCAAUUUUAUCGAUAAAGAAGAAAUGAAAAGCAAAGCUGACUUCGGUAAAUUUGAAUGAAAUACGUAAAGAACUAGAAAAAAAAACAUCGCUCAAAAUUUUCUCUGAUGAAUUAUCGAUUCUGCUAACUCACCACUUCAAUGAUCCUAUAAAUUUUUUUCAAAUAUUGGCACAGGGCAAUAAUUAUUUAAGGGGAGGUGUUCGUCGAUCACGUGGUUCCCAGUACUUGAUUACUGCUGUAUUUUAUCGAUCUGGAAAAGGAUAAAAGUCAAAGUUGACUCCGAUGGGAGAAUGUCAAGAGCCGGAACAAAUUCUGUAAAAGCAUUUCUUCCUGACAAUCUAACGAUUCUGCUAGCUAGACGCCUAAUGGAAAACACACAUAAUUAAACAGAAUAGUAGUUUCUAAUUUAUGUACAAGUUAGUAAUUUUGGUAUGCUUUUGACAGACAAUCAUAUUUAGAUUUUCUCUGGAGAAUAAACAAAACGUUUAGAAUUAGCGUCAACUGCUAAGACUUCAUAAUCUUUUAUCUAGUACGUAAUUACUAUUGUUAUUUCCCUGUUCAACAUACACCUUAGUACGAGACACUUUUGAAGUUAUGAUCUUAAAAGAAUUUUAUUAGGGUAGGAGUUGUGAUUUUUUUUAAAAUGUUACUAAAUAUUUAACCAAAUGGAUAGCCGAAGCAGGAUCUCUUGCUUUUCAACGGAACAUGUCAACAAAAUUUCUAGUUAACUAAACACUUUUAAACUUCGUAUACUGGUAGAAUGUGUUUAUAAAACAUCACUUUUUCUUGGCUUUAUUGAGAAAAUUCUAUAUGUUGUAACAUAUUUCCACUUUAAUUUCAAGCAUUUCGGCAAUUUUAACCAAUCGCUGACCUUCAUUUGGGGUGAAAACAUUCCGUGCUGUAUGAAUAUGUCCCUCGUUUAAGAAACAGAUUGGAUUUAUUUACAUUUGCGAAGAAAAAAAGAUACCCUUCCCCUACCCCUAACCCUAACUCUAAAAUAGAUUGAAAUGCAAUAGAUUGAUAUUAGGGUUAUAAUUAUGGGUGACAUUUUCACUUGACACCGCCAGAAAAAAAUCCCAUUUUCCGUAGCGGUGUCGUAUGAAAUUGUCACCCAUAAUUAUAACCCUAGUAUCGAUCUAUUGCAUUACAAUCUAUUUUAGAUUUAGGGUUAGAGUUAGGGUGAGGGGUGAGGGAAGGGUAUCUUUUUUCUUCGCAAAUAUAAAUAAACCCAAUCUGUUUCUUAAACGAAGGACAUAUUCAUACAGCACGGGAUUUUUUCACCCCAAAUGGAGGUCAGCGAUUGGUUAAAAUAGCUGAAAUACUUGAAAUUAAAGUGGAAAUAUGUUACAACAUAUAGAACUUUCUCAAUAAAGCCAAGAAAAAAAGUGAUGUUUUAUAAACACAUUCUACCAGUAUACGAAGUUUAAAAGUGUUUAGUUAAAUAGAAAUUGUGUUGACAUGUGCCGUUCAAAAGGAAAAGAUCCCAUAAGUAUUCGUUAAGAAACGAAUUUGUUCCUGUGCUUCCUUCUCUUCAUCCAAACGUAACUUUUGCUUAAUUUUCCUCUCUGUCCUUCCUACAUGUUGUAUAAACAUCACCGUUAUUUUUUUUUCUAAAUAUUUUAUCAGAAUUUUAUCCAUGCCAAGCAAUUUUCGCUAGAUGUAAGAUGGCAUGAACAAAUCACUUCAUUUUCUAAAUUUUAGCAACUGACACAAAAGAUUCUUCGUUCAAAUCGUUGGUGUCAUUUUUAUCUUCUUUAACGAUCCUCUUUUCUAACACCAUUCUUAGAACUUGACGUAAAUAGUGAUAUACAUAACGUGGAAUGGCUACAAAACAGUUGUACCGGUUUUAUAACUUAGUUUUCAGAUAGAUCGCAAACAUUUUUUAAAGUUUUGCAACAUAGUUUAUUGGUCGUUGAACUGAAUUUCGUCUAACGUCGUUUUCACAACACCUGAAGAAGUAGCAAAUUCGUAUUCACCAUUUUAUCUUCUCUUUUUAUGAUCGAUAAUAUUGCCUCUGAUGCAUCAGGUUUUGAUUAACCAAACCGAAGUAAGAAACGCAUUUUACACAUAAGUGUUUUGUCUAAAUGUUAACCUUUUUAUACUCAACAUCCUAGCUUCAGUUCCCUGCUUCAAACUUGUCACACACACAGAAGCAGCAAAAUAGUUUAUAGAGCCAUAAAGAGUUCAGUAUUUCCGAAUACAAGAAUUUUAAGGAAGCCUAUUUGAUAAAUGUGAUAUGGCGGUUCAAUGCUAAGAUGACACCUGCGAUUAAGUGAUACCGGUUGUUACCGGUUGUCUUCUGUUUUUUUUUUUCAAAGAGUAGUUGACGGUGGCCUACAGAAUUAUACAGUUUCUUUCUUCUUAUUUUUGUUGCGAAUGUUUAUACUUUACAAAACAACGCAUCAUACGCAGGGAAAUAAUGGCUUCCUUUGACAGCUGCUUUCAAAGUAGAUUAUGAUAUAAAUUUACAGUUCUACAGCUAUGCUUUCAGUGAGUAAGCAUAUUAUUAAUAUUAUUAUUAUUAUUAUUAUUAUUAUUAUUAUUAUUAUUAUUAUUAUUAUUAUUGUUAAGCAUUUAUCAGAUCCCGUAGUGCCAACGUUCUUUUAAGGUUGUUCUUUAGAGAAUUUUGGUUUUUCUUCCGUCUCUUUUCUAUUUCAUUCCCGCCCAUUUGUUUUUCUUUUCUUUUUUUCUUGAAAGAUUAUCUAAGUGAGCAACUGAUCAUAGUAGAAACUGGAUUGAUUAUUAUCGCUAGAUUUAACCGAUUAACUUGAUUUAUUGUCUUCAUAUGUAUACUAGUUUGGCAAUGAUCCCACAUAAAAGCAGUGUGAAAGCCCUAACUUUAGUGGAAAGUAGCAAAACAAAAAUAAUGGUAAACAUAUGCAAACACAUCGGUUUCUUACGCCAAAAUAUAUUUCAUUUUGGAAUCUGAUGGAAGUACUCACAACAAUUGAGUACACUUUUGGUUGACCAUAGAACGCAAUAUAGCAAAACAUGUUCGAAUCCCAUAUAAGUUACGAACUAUAUAUAUAUAUAUAUAUAUAUAUUUAUAAAAUAAUAUAAAUAAAUAUAAGGGUAGCAAAAAAAAUUUCUAGAAAAAAUUCUCCGCUGCCAGCAUGCUAGUGAGGAAGAAAAGAUAGUCAAAGACUAUAUAAUAUACAUUCAACAAUAUAAGGAAUGGCCCUGAUAGGCCAUUCGACUCACUAGAUAGUGCAGCCAACUUAAACCGCUAAAUAGUUGUAAUUCUGAAAUUGGAAGAUAUAUAUAUAUAUAUAUAUAUAUAUAUAUAUAUAUAUAUAUAUUUAUAUAUAUAUAUAUAUAUACAUAUGGGACAGAUGACCACUAUGUGGACAACCCGAAUGCUGGAAGUAGAUCCUUUAUGGUCUUACCACUAAGAAAUGCUCUCUAGAAAAUUUAGGGAGCAAGACAAAUGAAAAAUAACCAAAAUAUAGCGACGUCGCUUUUUGAUCCUUCGAUGUCGGCUCUUUCUGUCAUAGUGAAUCAGAUUAAUCUAUAUUUUUGUUAUUUUACAUUUGUUUUGCUCACUUACGUUUCUGGUGUUUGCUAAAUUUUCUAAAGAACAUUUCUUAGUGGUAGGACCAUAGCGGAUCUACUUCUAGCAUUAGGGUUGUCCACAUAGUGACCAUCCCUCCCAUAUGUAUGUAAUACAAUUUACUGAACCUUAUUUUAUUUUUUAUUAUGCUACACCACUGGUGUUCAAUUGAUGUUAUCAAAUUAAUAUCCAAUUUUUCACCCUCAUUUUGAUUUUAAUUAUAUAUAUAUAUAUAUAUAUAUAUAUAUAUAUAUAUAUAUAUAUAUAUAUACUAGCAGUAUCGCCCGGCUUUGCUCGGGUUUGUAAGGGAAAUAACUAUAUAAGCAUUUUUAGAGAGUUAUAGCCAAAAAUAGCCAAAAAUGCAUUAAAAAUGGAAAAAAAUUAUGGUAAUUUUUUUUUUAAAUCGUUAACUCAUCGUAGACAUUUUUAGAGAGUUACUUCCCUUAUAUAAUAGCGAAAAAAUGCAUUAAAAUGGAAAAAAAUGAUGGUAAUUUUUCUAUUAAAUCGUAGACUCAUCGUAGACGCGCGCUAAUACCCAGAAGGGCUCGAUAUGAAUCACGUCUAUAAGAUACCCGGUUUUGGUUAAACUGCACCGCAAAAUGUGGGAGUAGUUAGGAAUCUAAAUCGUAGGAGACAGACAGCACACAACCUCUCUUAUAUAUAUAUAAAGAUAUAUAUAUAUAUAUAUAUAUAUAUAUAUAUAUACGGAAUUGAGGAGAUAAAUUUAAUGUGAAAAGUGAAGAAUCUAACUAUCUGGUCAUGCGAGGAAUAGAAGAUAUUGUGAUACUGGCUGGUUAGUAUGUAUAAUUAUUCUCCAGUGAAAACGCAUAUAAAACUAAAUACAUUUCUACUGGUUGUAUGAAGUCCUUGUCGAUACCCCGUAAUGUUUUGUUUCUUUUUCUCUUAUUUCUCCUGCGUUACUGGUUUAGGGAAAUUCAUAAAAAAGCUGAAAUCCAUAAGAAAAAAUGUUUAUUUCUUUGUCGCGCCAAAAAACAUCAGAUCGGUUGCAUUUCAACUCGUUUGUUGUUUUAAUUUUCCAUGUUCAACUUCCAUCAGCAGUUUGCUGCAUCAUUCCCAAUGGCUCAAUGUGCCGGUUUGCUUUAUUUUUCUGAAGCUGUUACCUAAUUGUAGGUAGUCCUAUAUCCGAUUUCUCGGGCAACCACAUCAGGGUCCUUCGCAAAGUAAUUCUAUGUGAACGUCCACUUUGACGUGGCAAUUGUACGUAUAACACUUUCACUAUUGAACUGUUAUAGUCUCUAUUCGUUGUCACCAAACGCUUUCGACUUUUGUGCAGAAGAGAUAAUUUAGGGUUUCUUUUGGAUUUAGAAAAAGGUAACUUUUGUAGGUGAGAUAUGAACUUUUAGGUAUUUUAUAAUAGAUCUUUAGUAUUUGUAUUAUUAGUAUUUCCGAAGGCGGUUGGAGCUGGCAGAAUUGUUAGUACGCCAGGCGAAAUGCUUACCAGUAUUUCGUCUGCCGCUAUGUUCUGAGUUCAAAUUCCGCCAAGGUCAACUUUGCCUUUCAUCCUUUCGGCCUGGAUUAAAUAGGUACCAGUUACGCACUGGGGUCGAUAUAGUCGACUUAAUCCGUUUGUCUGUCCUUGUUUGUCCUUUCUGUGUUUAACCCUUUGUGGGUAGUAAAGAAAUAGGUAUUUCGCCCGUCGUUUCGUUCUGAGUUCAAAUUCUACCGAAGUCGACUUUAACUUUCACUGGGUCGAUAAAAUAAGUACUAGUUGAACAAUGAUGUCGAUAUAAUCGGCUCAUACUCCUCCCCCAAAAUUGCUGCCCUUGUGGCAAAAUUUGAAACCAUUAUUAGUAUUUCCGUUCAGUCCUACAUUAUUUUUAUCUCCGUACCCAUUUUCAAAUUUCUCAGUCAUCUUACCUAUGUUUUUGAUUCAGUUGUGUUAAGUUGGUCAUUCCUAUAUUUUUACGAGAGAAAUUAAUGUCAGUUUAUUUUUCCACUCUCCUCGUCAAAUUCAUUAACGAAGCUAAUAAUUUAUUCUUGUAAAUUUGAGCAACAUAGUUUCUUAGUGCAUCUCGCUACCGCUUCACUCUUAUAUAAAUUACAUGCAGAUUAAUGCCUGCGGUCCUCGUCUUUGGAAUGGAAAUUAAAUCUUAUAUAUUUAUUGACGGUAAAAUUUCCAGUUAUAUGAAAUACAUCCAUUUGUUAACGUAUUGUAGUAACUAGUUCAGAAGAGAAUGUGUAGUACAAGCGCUGAAUAAUGUGGUGUCAGCGAGAUAUAUUAUAUGCUGUUUCAGAAUUGUAAUGACAGACUUUUAAUCUCUUGUAGUACACAUUUCACUGAUUCCUCCUUCUUAAUGGAGCCAUAAAACUUGUUAUACUUAUCUACAUAAUUUUGUGUGUUUGUGCGUGCGUAUGUGUGUGUGUUUGUGUGUGUGUGCGUGCGCGUGCUCUAGUUUUGUUAUUCAAAUUUUCUCUGAAACAGAAACAACAUGGCUCCAACUUAGAAACAAGUUCUUUUCAUUGGAUGUGAGACAAGCUUAAGGAGUAGUCAUGUAUGUAUGUAUGUAUGUAUGUAUGUAUGUAUGUAUGUAUGUAUGUAUAUAUGGAUGUAUGCAUGCAUGCAUGUAUAUAUGGAUGUAUGCAUGCAUGCAUGUAUGUAUGAAGGAAGUCAAAAGUUAUCCGCACUUUCACCAUAACAUAUCUUUAUUAUUGUCAUACUGUCUUCUGCGCAUGCGUGCUUAUAGUUGGUACUAUUGUGGUCACAUGAUCGAAGUUUGAGCCGGAUCUCGCCAUUUUUCUCUCUGGCUUUGCAAUGUAAGCAUGACCACUCCACAAGUAAUGUGCACCAAAGAAGAACAAAGAGCAGUGAUCCGACUUCUUUGGUCGGACGGUCUGUCAGGUGCUAAAAUUCAUGCACGAUGAUAAAGCCUGUACAAGACGGGUUCCAAGAGAGCUUACUCCAGAGCACAAGCGCAAAUGCCUUGAGGUCUAUCCAACGUUUACUCAAUCGCUACAACAGCGAAGGUGUGGAAUUUUUGAGCAGAAUAGUCACUGGAGAGGUAACGUGGAUCAAUCAUUAUGAGGCAGAAUCCAAAGGACAGAGCAUGGAGUGGAAACACCCUGUCUUGCGACCGACGAAGAAAUUCAAAUCUCCGUUUCCGUGGGAAAGGCGAUACUAACCCUUUUUUUUUUUUUUUGGAGACUCAAAGGGGCCUAUACUUGAAGACUACCUGGAAAAGGGGUGUACGAUCAACAGUGCAAGAUACUGUGCUUUGCUGGCCAACAAACCGAAGCCAGCAAUUCGCACCGAACACCGAAACCUAUUGUCGAAGAAAAUUUUGUUGUUGCAUGACAAUGCGCACCCACACACGGUCGCCCAGACCGUUGAAACUAUUAACCAAUUGUGCUGAAAGACUCCGAUGCAUUUCAGUACCUAACACCUUCCGUCCAGAGCAAUUGGAUCACUGCUUUUGGUUCUUCUUUGGUGCACAUUGCUGGUGGAGCGGCCAUGCUCACGCUGUAAAGCCACAAAGGAAAAUGGUGCGAUCAGGCUCAAACUUCGAUCACGUGACCACAAUAAUACAUACUAUAAGCACGUAUGCGCAGAAGGCGAUACGACAAUAACGAAUAUAUGUUAUGGCGAAAGAGCGAAUCAUUUUAAACUUCCCUUUGUAUGUAUGUACUUAUUUGUACAUUGAAAGUUUCUUGAAAAUGAGCCUGAAUUAAUUUACAUAUCUGCAAAAAUUAUUAUUUCACAACAAACAUUAUCGCUGUUCUCAUGAUAAUUUUCUAUAUUAAAUGUACAACAACCCCAACAGCUCUGUUGAUAUGUAAACAUUCAAUCAGAAGAAGUUAUGAGCAAAAAUGAACUUAGAUGUGCUACAUGCUUUCACUGUCGAUAUGACGAGCUGAUAAGAGAGAUGACACACGUUCCAGACAUGUUAAUACGCUUUUCAGUAUUAAAUUGAAGCUUUCAUUCAGAGUGUACGUCAAUAGUUUUCCUUACAUCUUGUGAAAUUUAUGAAGCUCAUUUUAAAUGAAACUUGAAAAAUAUUUAAAUAUAACUAGACAUAGCUUCGCAGGAAGUGAUGUGUAUUUCAUUAGCGGACAUAUGCAAUUGUUAUCGCUUCUCACUACAAUGAAAUACUGCCAAGAAGUGCGCUACCAUUCUAUAUUCUAUUACUAAAUUCAACAUAACAAUACUUUUAAGAUGACUUUGAAGAAAGGAAAAAAUUCUAUUGAUCCUCCUCAGAACAGAGUUCCAGUUCCUGUUAUUGUAGAAAUUAUAUUUGAUUUUAAAUGUUGGGUAAUUUCCAUAGAUAUUUCCAACACAAAAGAGCGCCGCUGUCAUUUGCCAACUCUCUAUUCUUUGAUUUCAUGUAGCACCCCCAUUUUAACGUCAAACGCAAACUUUGUGUUUAAUCAGCAAAUGUUUCAAAGUAGGAAAUGAAUGAAGUCGCUUGCAACCGUUUUAUUUAUAGAUGUAUAUCCUGAAGCAUUCUCUUUCUGGUUGUGGAAGAAACUACAGAGCGUAAUAAUAAUAAUAGAUAUGGUAUAUGCUAUCCCACACCGAAUAAGGCAGCGCAUAUCGCAUUUCCAAAAGCGAAAGUGAAAGAAGGAUAUAUAUAUAUAUAUAUAUAUAUAUAUAUAUAUAUAUAUAUAUAUACAGGGUGAUUCAAAAGUCAUCAUAUACAGGAAAAAUUUAUUUUUUAUAAGAUAGAGUUAAAUAAAAAAAAUGGUCUCAUGUAUGGCGAGUUUUUAAUCACCUGUCUGUGUAUAUAUAUAUGUGUGUAUAUAUAUAUAUAUAUAUAUAUAUAUAUAUAUAUAUAUGUAUAUAUAUACACAUAUACAUAUACAUUUAUAUGUAUAUAUGUAUACAUGAUUGUAGGUUUGUGUAUAUAUACGCAGAAGGCGUAUGGCGCACUGGUUAGAGCAUCGGUCUCACAAUCAUGAGGUAGUAAGUUUGAUUCCCAAGCCGGACUAUGUGUUGCGUUCUUGAGCAAGACACUUUAUUUCACGUUGCUUCAGUUCACUGGUGCCAAGCUGUAUCGGCCUUAGCGUUUCCUUGGAAUACAUCCGUGACGUGGCGAGUGGCGGCUGAAAUAUAUGUGCGACUGCUGGUCUUCCAUAAACAACCUUGCCCAGACUUAUGGGUUGGAGGGGAACAUUCUAGGUGCAGUCCCAUGGUCAUGACUGAAGGUGGUGUCCUCACCCUUUACCCUCUAUAUACAUGUGUGGGUGCGUAUGUGUAUACACACAAGCACACACAAACACAUACAUGUUUUAUAUUUUACAUGCUUCAGUCAUUGGACUGCAGUUACGCCUGGGUACCUCUUUGAAACAUUUAGUCAAACAAACUAAAUCCAGUUCUUAUUUCUUUCCAAGUCUAUUGCUUGGCUUCUCGUCAGUUUUCCCAAAUAGCUAAGGUAUGGGAACUUAAACAAACCAUCGCCAGUUGUCGAGCGGUAACGGAGAUAAGCAGAAGAAACACACAUACACAAAUACACACAGACUCACGCACGCACACACACACACACACACACACACACACACACACACACACACACACAUAUAUAUAUACAUAGUUAAGUAUCUACAUGAAUUUUAUGUAGUAAGGUAUGAUGUAAGUUUGCACAGUGUGCUUAACAGUACAUUCCCAGAAACAGGAAACGGUAAACCACGUCAUGCGCAAAACACAUCAGUAUUCGAAUAUUUUGAAGUCCUUUUUUUAUAAUCCAAACAAGGAAUAUAUGGGAAUGACUCGAUGUCUUAUAUUAUUUGUAUUUAUACUCAUCGCAGACAUUGAUUCCUUUGUAGGAAGUUUGUUUCGCACUCUCGUAAGACUGGGUUUGAUCGUACAGCCCCAAAUCUCGUGCCAAGUUUCUUCUAUCUCAGCUUUGAUUGGCCCAAGGCUUCAUGCUUCAUUUUAGCUUCCUCCGAACAUUCCCUGUUCAUUAUUAUAUCAACGUAGUAAGAAUUGUCUCUUAAUUCUUGAUCCUUCUUUUGUAUUACCUGCAAAUUUCACGUAACGUUUUAUGUUUAUUAUUCUAAGUAAGUGGAGGCGCAAUGGUCCAGUGGUUAGAGGAGCGGACUCGAGGUCGUAGGAUCGUGGUUUCGAUUCCUAGACCGUGCAUUGUGAGUGUUUAUUGAGCGAAAACACCUAAAGCUCCACGAGGCUCCGGCAGGGUGGUGGUGGCGAUCCCUGCCGUACUCUUUCGCCUCAACUUUCUCUCACUCUUUCUUCCUGUUUCUGUUGUACCUGUAAUUCAAAGGGCCAGCCUUGUCACACUCUGUGUCACACUCUGUGUCACGCUGAAUCUCUCCGAGAACUACGUUAAGGGUACACGUGUCUGUGGAGUGCUCAGCCACUUGCACGUUAAUAAAUGAGCUGCGUCGUCAAUGGUGCCAAGGUGUACCGGCCUUUGCCUUUCCCUUGGAUAACAUCGGUUGCGCGGAGAGGGAAGGCUGGUAUGCAUGGGUGACUGCUGGUCUUCCAUAAACAAAUUUGCCCAGACUUGUACCUCGGAGAGUAACUUUCUAGGUGCAAUUCCAUUGUCAUUCAUGACCGAAGGGGGUCACAAAAAAUUCUAAGUAAAAAGUAAAUACCAACCCGACGGAAUCCGCCCUUGUUUCUAUGCUACAAUUUUACUGUUUUAAGAUGAUCUCAAUUAAGACCUUUCAUCAAAAAUGUAAUUUAAUGUCUAUUCCAGACACCAGCUCCAUAAUGACAAAUUGAUUUUAUUUAAUUCUUCAUUAUUUUCAAAAUUGAUUGAAACAAAGUCUAUGUAAUUAAAUGUCCAUUAGGUUUGUUUUUACGACUUUUGUACAUUAUACAGUUCUAACGUUUUUGUAUAAUAUAAUUAACAUUGCUGAACUAUAGUGUCGUUCGUGACAAGUACCCACCGAUACAGUCACUAGUUUCACUAAAUUUCUGGUGAUAGGAAUGACCAGAAAGGGUCUGUUAAACGUGGUGCAGAACAAACAUCCGAAACAUCGUAGAAAAACGUCGAAUCCUAAAAGCACACCUACACGCACACAUGAGGCACACAAACAUAGGUACACAGAUAUCUCUCUUUUCUCUCUUUUAUUCUCUUUUACUUGUUUCAGUCAUUUGACUGCGGCCAUGCUGGAGCACCGCCUUUAGUCGAGGAAAUAUCGACCCCAGGACUUAUUCUUUGUAAGCCUAGUACUUAUUCUGUCGGUUCUUUUGCCAAACCGCUAAGUUACGGGGAUGUAAACACACCAGCAUCGGUUGUCAAGCGAUGUUGGGGGGUGACAAACACAGACGCAUAAACGCAUACACACACAUACAUAUACAUAUAUAUAUAUACGACGGGCUUCUUACAGUUUCCGUCUACCAAAUCCACUCACAAGGCUUUGGACGGCCCGAGGCUAUAGUAGAAGACAGUUGCCCAAGAUAUCACGCAGUGGGACUGAACGCGGAACCAUGUGGUUGGUAAGCAAAGUACUUACCAUAUAGCCACCCCUGUAUAGACUUGUACAAACACACACACUCAGGCAUACACACACACACAAACACACAAACACACGUAUAUGUAUAUAGGUUUGCAACAAAAGUUCGUACUGUUCUUCAGGUGGCAGCGUUUUAAUAUGUAACAUGUGACAUCGUCUCUCAUUUGACGAAUGUAUAUGAUAUAUUUUUUCUGAAAUGUGACGAUUCAACAAGUCUUUCUAUAUGGUUCCUGUGUAAGGGAACUCGGGAUGGAGAAAAAUGAGAUCAAUUUUCGUGAUUUGAAUAUAAUUUACAUCUACAAAAGGGACACGCUGUACAAGCAGCAAAAAUCACAUGCAGUCUAUGGAAAUGGUACAAUAUCUAAGAAGAUCGUUUAUAGUUGCUUCGAUAGAUUUUGACCGAGAAACGUUUGAUCGAAAAGAUCGUGAACAAGCCGACAGGCCUACAGUAUUUGAUGAUAACCAAAGGCGGCGAACUGGCAGAGCCGUUAGCACGCUGGGCGAAAUGCUUACGGGUAUUUCGUCUGCCGCUACGUCCUAAGUUCAAAUUCCGCCGAGGUCGAGUUUGCCUUUCAUCCUUUCGGGGUCGAUUAAAUAAGUACCAGUUACGCACUAGGGUCGAUAUAGUCGACUUAAUGCCUUUGUCUCUCCUUGUUUCUCCCUUCUGUGUUUAGCCCCUUGUGGGUAGUAAAGAAAUAAGUAUUUGCUGAUAACCAAAUCGAAACACCAAUCCUAAUUAAAUAUGAAAACAAUUAAUUGACCGCUCUUCUGUCCACGAUUCUCACUUCAAACGCAACAAAUGUAACCCUUUUCGAAAAGAGCGACCACGGGGGAUGAAGGACUGCAUUGCUUACAAGAACAUGCGGUGGAAAUGGUCUUGGAGAAAGCGAAAUCAAACGUAAUUAGUAAUUCCAAAAGCUGAUCAGCACACGGAGAAGGUGAUGCAUUAUAUCUGAUGUGAUUGGAAGGGUAUUACGUAUUAUGAGCUCUUUCUGCAAAAUCAGGGAUCGACUUCAGAUAAUUAUUGCUCUCAAGUAAACCGAUUAAAGGAAGUACGCGGACAACACUAGACCUCAGAUUCGGCAGGAUGAAACACACACACACACACACAUACACAAAUAUAUAUGUGUGCGUGUGUAUGUCUCGGUGUGUGUACGAAUGUAGAAGCGCUUUAUGAACCAUGGGUAUCUCUUCGAACCGGCCAUAACUAACAUUCAGUAAAUAUUCACAUCAUCAUCAUCAUCAUCAUCAUCAUUUAAAAUCUAUUGUCCAUGCUAGCAUGGAUUCGACGGUUUCACUAGGACUGGCAAGCUGGAAGGCUACACCAAACUCCAAUCUCAUUUGCAUGGUUUAUAUAUAUAUAUAUAUAUAUAUAUAUAUAUAUAUAUACAUAUAUAUAUAUAUAUAUUUAUAUUUAUAUGUAUGUAUAUAUAUAUAUAUAUAUUGGUCUUCUCGCUUAGCCAGCGGGGUGGCGUCAUUGAAGGCUAAAACAAUGGGAAGUGCAUUGUGACCAGCGAUGUGUAGCAAUAUCUGAUGGCCUGGUCGGUUACUUGAUCACUUAAUAUAUAUAUAUAUAUAUAUAUAUAUAUAUAUAUAUAUAAAGAGAGAGAGAGAGAGAGAGAGAGAGAGAUUUAUAUAUAUACAUAUAUAAACACUUAUGUGUGUGGUGUGCAAACAACUGGUCUGAGUAGUGGAACUUAAUUGGGAACCACGUGAUUAAUAAGAAAACUUCUUAAUUACACAUCUAUAAUGCAUGUAUAGAUAUACACACUCUGUCACUCACACACACACCCACACAUGCAUAUAUAUCUAUAUCUAAACAUACAUGCAUACAUAUGUAUAUCUAUGCAUACAUGCACAUAUAUAUACAUACAUGUAUACAUACAUAAGCUUGUCUGUACAGUGGAAUUGAACUGGAAACCACGUCGUUAAAGAGCAAACGUGUUAAUUAUACAACUAUUUCUGCCUCUAUAAACACACACACUCACACAGAUAGGCAGCUAGAUAGGUACGUAGAUAGAUAGAUAGAUAGAUAGAUAGAUAGAUAGAUAGAUAGAUAGAUAGAUAGAUAGAUAGAUAGAUAGAUAGAUAGAUAGAUAGAUAGAUAGAUAGAUAGAUAGAUAGAUAGAUAGAUAGAUGGAUAGAUAUGAUUGCAUGAAAACACAAAUGCUUCAAUCAACACUAUGCUAACAGAACCUUCUACUCACAUACACUAAUUCACUAAGACACCAUCACCUCUCUCCGCUUUGCCCUUUGAAGACUAAAUUCAGUCAGCCUAGGUCCAGUGAGUGAACGACUACCAAGUAAGCUAACCAUCACACACAUGGUUUAUUUCAUCGGAACUAUUUCUCUUUAUAUUUACUGAUUUCUUGCCUUCUCUUCCUCUCUGUCAAUUACUCAUUUAUAUUCCAAAGUGUGCCAAUGUUCGUAACGUCAAAAUUAACUUCACGCACUUCCUCUCAGCGUCAAAAUUACAAUGUUGAUUCUGAAUCUGUCCGCCCUUAUUUUUCUCAUCUUAUUCCCCUACUUCGUUCUCUACAUACAUACAUACAUACAUACAUACAUACAUACAUACAUACAUACAUACAUACAUACAUACAUACACACAUACAUACGUACGUACGUACAUACGUACACACACACACACAUACAUACAUACAAACAAACGUACACACACACAUAGAUACAUACAUACAUACAUACAUACAUACAUACGUACACACACACAUAGAUACACACAUACAUACAUACAUACAUAUACAUACACACAUACAUACAAAAAUUCCAAUGGAUCUAGGUUAGAAACCAACUCUUUCUCUAUUGUCAAGAAAUCAUAAAAUAAAACUGAACAAUGAUAUUCAUACCUGUAUACACACACACACACACACACACACACACACACACACACACACACAUAUAUAUAUAUAUAUAUAUAUAUAUAUAUAUAUAUAUAUAUAUGCACACGAGCAGUAUCCAAUCAGUUUCCAUCCAUCAGAUUCAAUCAAAGGCCUCUGGUUGUCUCAGAACAAAAGUAGAAGUUUCUCACACACCGGAAUUGAACUCGGAGACGUGCAGUUUGCGAUAUGAAGUGAACUUCGUAAUCACUCGCAAUUUGAUAGGACUGAAAGCCAGAAAACCGAAUAAACCUAAUUAAUAUGCUAAAGUAUCUAAUCACACUCGCUAUAUCUACAGCCAUUUAAUCACCCUAAACUACUAAAAAAGAUUACGAAACUGUAGCCAAUCUAGCGAUGGUAUUCUCUAGUUUGUACGGUUUGAGGGACCUGACUAAUGUAGAAAUCGGAAAUGUGUAACGAAAGACUGGUUUCCAUUUGCCGGUUUUGUAUCGACGACUUUCACAUUCAGUCAGACCUGCAUCGUUCCUCUAAUACUAACAGUAAAUUGUAAAUCUUUGACUUGUAAUUUUCCUCUGAAACUUUCUACGCCGCAUUCUCUUUCGAUCGAUAAUUUUUGCUGCUAUAAUGGCGAAAAUCCAAUCUCUUUGUUGUUAUAAUGGCAGAACACUAAAAUUAGAUAGUUUCAAACACUGUCAAGCUCUAACUUUAUUGAAUUGUAGAAUUUUCAGCUGCUGAUUAUUAAAUGUCUAUAACACACUCGAUCUAAUGUUAUCAAAUCUCAGAGUUACUUUAAAAUUUCUGAUACUAAAAAUGUAUAAAUGUUGCAUUUGUUCUCCUACGAUGAAUCUUAUAUAGUUUACAAGAAUUUUUUUGCAUGGUACCUCAUGGGAACUUGUAUAGGUUAAUGUUUUAAGGAGGGUUGGAGGCUCCAUCCACGGGUACCUCAGUUCGUUGUAUCAUAGUGUACCUGAGUAGUACACAAAUCCUUUAAACUUAAGGUCAUCAUCAACCACAAAGAGCGAUACAAAAUAUGUAACCAAUCUGUACCUUCGUAUAAAGGCACAGAGUAUACAAGAGUCCACACCACAGUUUCUGUUCAGCAAAGUUCAUUCAAAAUUACAAUGUUAGUCAGGGAACAUAUGAGAGAUCAAGGGGUAUAGCAGAAAGUUGGGGCUCCGAUCUUCAUGAGGGGCUAGUAAAACAUUGAAGCAUACAUUCCUCUAUGUAUGAAUACAUACCUAUGGAAGAGGCUGCUCACAUGUGCGCUUGUAUAUAUAUAUAUAUAUAUAUAUAUAUAUAUAUAUAUAUAUAUAUAUAUAUAUAUAUAUAUAUAUGUGUGUGUGUGUGUGUGUGUGUGUGUGUGUGUGUGUUUGUGUGUUUGUGUGUGUGUGUAUGUGUGUGGAGACGAAAUGGCCCAGCGGUUAGGGCAGCGGACUCGCGGUUGUAGGAUCGCAGUUUCGAUUCCCAGACUGGGCGUUGUGGGUGUUUAUUGAGCAAACACACCUAAAGCUCCACGAGUCUCCGGCAGGGGGUGGUGGUACUCUUUCGUCAAAAGUUUCUCUCAAUCUUUCUUCUGUUGGCCUGCUCGCUUAGCCAGCGGGGUGGCGUCACUUGAAGGCUAAAAUAUUGCGAAGUGCAUUGUGACCAUCUGAUAGCCUGGUCGGUCACAGUGAUCACGGUGAUAUAUAUAUAUAUAUAUAUAUAUAUAUAUAUAUAUAUAUAUAUAUAUAUAUACAUAUGAUGCACUUUCCCGUCGUUAGACGACGUAUGAGGGUUCUGGUUUCUGCAAUUUCUUGCUGAAGAGGCACAUAUUUGAUUUGUUUAUAGUUGUUAAAUGUUUGUGUUCACAUAAAUGCCCUCCCUCAACCUGUACAGCAGCACGAAGUGGCACAUGUCUGAAGACGAAACGAUCGCAGAGGAAACUGAAAUGAAGUGUUCUACCCAAGAAGGCAACUCAACCCUCGGUUUGGGAAUCGAAACCAUGAAUCUCACCAUCGUGAGUGCAACACCCUACUCACUAAGACAUGCGCCUUCACAAAUAUGUGUGUGUGUAUGUGGGUAUGUGUGUUUGUGUGUGUGCGCGCUUGUGUGUGUGUGUUCAUGCGCUCCUUAGCUGUGGCAUAGCACCAGAUGAUAUAUAUCUUUAUACAUGUUAUAUGAUAAGAAGAUUGUUUCCCAGCCACAUCGGUCCGAAUUCAUUCUCACUGUGUGUGACCUUCGGCAAAUCGCUUCUACUAUAGUCUCGGGCCGACCAAAGCCUUGUGAGUGGAUUAAGUGGAUGAAAACUGAAAGAAACCCAUCGUAUAUGUGUGUGUGCGCGCGCGUAUACGUGCAUGUGUGCGCGCGGUUGUCUUUGCGUCUGUGCUUGUCCCUCAUCACCACUUGAUAACCGCUGUUGGUGAGUUUACGUCCCCGUACUUAAAACUUCAAUAAAAGUAACUGAUAGAAUAAGAAGUAAACUGGCCUUGGUCUAUUCGUUCGACUAAAAUCCCUUAAGGCGAUAGUCCAUCUGGUCCGCAGUCAAGUGAAUGAAACAAGUAAAAGAAUAACAGAACAAAGGAAUAUACAUAUAUACACAUAUAUAUAUAUAUAUAUAUAUAUAUAUAUAUAUAUAUAUAUAUAUAUAUAUUGUCGUGGAAUGACCAUGUGAUACGGAUGGAAAAUGGCAAAUGAUCGCAUCACUCAGCAAGUAUUUAUGGCGAGCUUUCUCCUGGAAAGGGAAAUUAGAGCAAACCACAAAAUAAAAAGCGGUUUAAAAACUUGCCAAAAACUAGUUUUUUGGAGUCGAACAUAUUUUACAGAGAUGUUGAAUCUAUUGUUCUUGACAGAAACAGAUGGCGAAAAAUGUUCUGUUCUAUGGUAAAAGAUUUUGAAAACGACAAAUUUAUGUGACAAUUUAAAAAGGAGCUAUCGGAAAACAACGCCUUGCUAAACACUGACCCAACAUCACCCUUUCAGUUGCUCAACAUAUGGAGAGGCUUGCUUUUCUGAGAUAUGACUUUCAGAUGUUCUAACAAGCAGCGUAAUUAGUGAGUGGUACUCUCGUACUUCAGGCGCUACACCGCAGCGAACUGGUGAAAUCACAUACAUUGACCAUAUUGACCAUGUGGGUCACAAUAUAUAUAUAUAUAUAUAUAUAGAGAGAGAGAGAGAGAGAGAGAGAGAGAUCGCCAUGAUAGAUCGUUAGCCACUACACAGAUUUUUUUCUCUCCUUGUUUUUUUGUUCUGUGUCCCACUCUGUAUAAGAACGUAGGCUCAAAACAUAAAAUUCUUUUUCUAUUCCUGAGCGUUAUACUAAUACAUCUGUUUGUUUUGUACACCACCUAUCUUCUUCUUUUGUUUUUUUUUCAUAAACUCUCCCUAUAUAUAUAUAUAUAUAUAUAUAUAUAUAUAUAUAUAUAUAUAUAUAUAUAUAUAUAUAUAUGUAUGUAUAUAUACCAGUAUACAUACGGACAUAUGAGUGUGAGAGUAUAGUGCGCAGGCUAGCUGUCAAGUAAUCUGUCGUAUAGUAUCUUUCUAUAUAUCUGUUAUAUGUCAGUUAAUGUUCUUCCAUAAAAAAAGAAUCCAAAACCUGUUGGAAAUUUCAGUUUAUGAAUUAACAGAGUUUUCAACACUUUAUCCUCUAACGUUCUUUUCUUAGUAAUCUCGUGACAAUUUAUUUUGAUAUAUAUAUAUACAGGGUGGAGUAGCGAAGGCAUACGUUUUUGAAAAAUUCACAAAAUCAUUAAUCUUAGCUGCAAACGAAUUUUAUUGACAUCAAUGUGUUCUAUUGAAUUAGCAUUUGUUAAAAUCAAGCUUGGAAAACAACAUCCAUCAAGUGGUGUUUGUUUUCAUUGAUGUAUCUCUGAAGAUAUUUUUGGUAUUUGGCCUCCACUCUCUCCAGUAUAGUCCCAUGGUCUCAACUGUUCCUCAAUGGCCAAUUUGUACGGGUGGAAAUGCAGGUCUUCAUGCAAAAUACGCCUUACCGUUCGAUAACCGAUGCCAGGUUCAGUGGGAUGCAUCAGAGCAGAGCGAUAGGGACUCCGUAUCAAAGCUUGUCUGACCUGAUCCACAUUUUCCAGGGUCCGUAUCGUUUGUGACGCCCCCACUCCCAUAUUCAUUAGUGUAGCUCAUGUACGAAGUGUUGCAGUGGCGCCGAAAUUCACGGUGAAUUAAUGUGACAGACUUGUUAUUCUUCACCUAAGCGUGGUAGGCAAACACAUGAUGCUUUAUCGUCCACGGUGCCAUGGCUUCACCGGAAAAGAAAAUAAUACUAAGCGCCACGGACCUAAUGUUAUCUGUCGGACAUAUGUCCCUCCACUUGGGGCUGGACAAUAGCCAUUUUCCAAACAUCCAUCCUCUCUACCCCAACCUGUACAUAUAUAUAUAUAUAUAUAUAUAUAUAUAUAUAUAUAUAUAUAUAUAUAUAUAUAUGUACAGAGAGAGAGAGAACAAAAACGCAAUAGAGGGCAUUAAAACAUUAAAACGUUCGGACAAAUAGACGAUACAAAGGCGUACAAGAGAAAUAACAAUUAGAAGGACACGCAAAAAAGACAGGUCAUUCUUGGCUUUCUUUCAUUAGUCAAGUCCCAGACGUCACGACCAUUUUAGGCAGUUAUACUUGAGAUGGUUCGAUCUACAUAUAUAUAUAUAUAUAUAUAUAUGUGUGUGUGUGUGUGUGUGUGUGUGUGUGUGUGUGUGUGUAGAUCAAAGUUGAUAUUGUAGCAAUGAAUUUGAGCAGCUGUACAAUACAUAUGUAUUGUAUCAAUCCUUGUGUAAUAUAUAUAUUUAGAUAUAUUGCAUCCAGCGAAGAGCCGCAAUCAAUCACUCACAGUUACGCUCAGGCCCUCAUCUACAUUCAGAUACUCACAGAUACGCUACAGUCCUCAUCCAACAUAUGUGACAACUCCUUUUUGUGUCUUUUCUAUUGCUACUAUAAUUAUAUUCUUUUGUUCUUUGCAACUGGCUGAUCUCAUACGCCAUCCAAUCUGGCACCCAAUCGUCAUUCUCUCCACCUCUUGUCCCUCUUUGUUACAACCAGCCCCAUCAUCUCAUCACUAAUCAUUAUUCUCAGUCCUUUUCCUCAGAUCAUCAAUCUUCUGAAAUUUCCCCCCUCUUCACUUCAUUCGUACGGACUUUGAUAUAUAAGUGUAUAAACAAAACAUUGAUAGCACCAGCAAAGGUCAUGAGCAAAGGCCAAUCUUCCAACCCCCCCUCCCAAAAAAAAAUCAAAAUACGAAAUAGGAAAAAGGAUAACUUUCUUUUGAAUGAAUUAUAUGCUAAUAUUUUUAGCAGAAAGAAACCAGCGAACUGUCAGAAUCGUUAGCAUGCCAAGUAAAAACUCAGCAGCAUUUCGUCCUACUUUACGUUCUGGGUUCGAACUCCACCGAGGUCGACUUUGCCUUUCACCCUUUUGGGGUCGAUAAAAUAAGUACCUGUUCAGCGCUCGUGUCGAUCUAAUCGACUUAACCCCUCCCUUGAACUUGCUGGCCUUUUGCCAAUAAUUCAAAUCAAUAUUUUCAAGAGAGAUAUAUAAGAAGAAAACGUGAGCCAAGUUGGGAUGUAGAAUUAAAAAUGAACUACUGUGAGUCUAUUUCUCGGAUAUGCUUCAAAAUGUUGUUUAUAAAGUGUAGUAUCAUUUUCAUUCUAAUUUUCCAUCCAAUUUCUCCAGCACUGUCAGAUUUUCCGUCUAUAUCGAUUCUACAUCAUUUUGUGAAUAUUAUUUGUUCUGACUUUCGUCCUAAAAGAUACCAAAUCUUCGUAGAAGGUUACUGGUCGACAGAACAAUAGAGUCAAAAUCUUAGUGAAAAAAAUAUGUCUAGCAAAUUUAUAUUUUUAAUUUAAUAUUUCUGAAUUAAAAUCACUAAAUUAAGAACAGAAAAAUGGUUAUUAAUCAAUUUAUGUCCUUUUUAUUUUAUUAUAUAAGUCUAGAAAUCUAUUGAUAAAGUUUAUUAAUCAAUAAGUUUUUAUUUGGUGAGGUAGGCUGGUAAAUUAGUUUCCAGGCUGAAAAUUAAAUGAGCUUAAUUAUUUCAUUGAAGAAUUUGACUUGCUGACUGAGCUACCACAUUACAAGAACCUUCUGACGUCAUCAACUGCCACGUUAGUUCAACACUAAUUUGAUAAUAAAAAAAGGAAAAAAAAUAUUGAAUUUCCGUUCGUCAAUAAAACCAAGUCUCAGAAUUUGAAAUCACAUGAAGUUGUAAUAAUGUUUAUUAAAUUUUACUUUAAAUGGUCGUUUUCUGAAGAAUAUUAUUAUUUUCUUUCAGUUCACUAACUUCUUUUAUUAGUAGUCAUGAGUUUUUUAAAGAUUUAUUCCACCGCCAAAACAAAACAGAAAACAGUCCUUUGAAGAUUUUGUAAUAUAAAUAUCGACGAGAAUCAAUGUAGAGGAAAAAAUUGAUUCACUGAAUCAUAUAUGUAUGUAUGCCUGUAUCAAUUUAGUGUUUGUUCGUGUGUGCAUCUGUAUAUGGACGUAUAUAUAUAUAUAUAUAUAUAUAUAUAUAUAUAUAUGUGUGUGUCUGUGUUUGCAUGUAUGUAUAUGCAUAAAAUCGCGUAAAUAUAUGUACGUGUGCGCGUGUACAUGUACAUACAUACAUACGUACAUAAUACGUGUAUGUUGGUUUCUAUGUUUUUGUGUGUAUGUAUGUACGUAUGUUUACGAUUCUUUUUCACUAUUUUUUCAAUGCUUUGAAUUAAUUCAACACUCACUUCCUGCCCUCUACAAAUACCUUGAGAUAGAAAAUUUUUUUUCUCGUUUUUACUAAUUGCAUAAUUUCAUUUCACUAUUGAACAUAUUUUCUUAUAUAUUUCAUUAUAUAUACCUUGCCACUUACUCAGAAGCAGAUUAUAGAAAACAAACUAAAUUUUCUAGAAAUCCAAUUACGAAUAAAAUUGUCGCUAGGAAAAAAAAAAUUAAAUACAAUACACCCUCCCUCACCGCCAACAAAAAAAAACAUUUAAAAAACAACUAAAUUUUCUCAACAAAUUUGGAUUUUGCAUGGAUAUUUUGUUCAGUUAAUGUUAAAAUAUAGUAUAAUUAAAUUUUAAAUUAUUAUAUGAACUGAUAUAUUUAAUGGAAACUCAUUCUAUCUUGUUGCUGUGAUGAAGUGGAGGGAUUAUGGAGUGACAGGUGCUUUAAUGUCAGAAUAAAUUAGUCGCCAUAGUUUGUUACAACUUUUAAGAGUUUUAGUUGAUAGGUUCCUAGUCGCGUGACUUCUUUCUUUGUACCAGGAUCAACAGAAAUUGGCAGUAAAUUUGGGUGAUAACCAGAAAUUAGUUACCAGCAUGGUUAAAAGAGAUAAAUCUGAAAGUAUUUGCUAGAAACUUGCUGAAUUACAGAAGUACAUCACCUUCCAUAGAAAAGCGUUGUGCGUUUGCAUUCUACAAGGAACACUUAUGUAGACAACUUAAAAUUGAUAAAUGUAUAUUGACAAUAGAAUAGAGUUAAUUCAAUAGCCUAUAUGCAUUCCCUGAAAAGCAAAUUUGUGUUCCAGUUCAAAAAUCUAUAUUUGAAUGAUUUAUUAAGAAUCUUUAGAAGAUAAUUUGAUGUGGAUGUCUCAUGGUUUCGAUAUCAAUAUCAUUCAAUUUUAGUAAUAUGAUUAUUGGGAAACGUACGCUGAUUCCAAAAUGUUAUUCCCAAAUUUAUGUUCCUUUACGUUUGUGUGUUUGUGUUCAAUUAGAAAAUUUUAUGAAAGAUGAACGGUGCAACGAUUGAGGAAUGUCUAAAUCAAGACUGCGUUGCCGUGUGAUGAUAACUUUUAAAGUGUAAGUCUAGUGCUCAACACAUUUUGAAAAGCCAAGCAAUCAAAAACAGUUUAUGAACGACUAGCAGUAUCGCCCGGCGUUGCUCGGGUUUGUAAGGGAAAUAACUAAAAUAAGCACUUUUAGAGAUGUAAAGUAUAAUAGCCAUCUCAAUAUGGCUAACCACAAAGCGUGGUGGUGUUACUGUAGCUUUUUACGUUCUGAGAUUUAAUAAUAAAUUUUUAGAGAAUUUCUUCCCUUAUAUAUGCCAAAAAUGCAUUAAAAAAGGGAAAUAUUGAUGGUAAUUUUUUUUAAAUCGUAGACUCAUCGUAGACGCGCGUUAAUACCCAGAAGGGCUCGAUAUGAAUCACGACUAUAAGAUACCCGGUUUUGGUUAAACUGCACCGCAAAAUGUGGGAGUAGUUAGGAAUCUAAAUCGUAGGAGACAGACAGCACACAACCUCACUUUUAUAUAUAAAGAUAUAGAAUUCUGUAACAUGAAAUAGGUAGAGGAUUGUUUUAAUCAAGGCUGCAUUUUCACGUGGUGAUACGUUUUAGAGUGACAAAACGUCGUAGAAACCUUGUAAAAGUCGAAUUGUUCAGCAUACCAAAAGUAGUAUUUGCGGAGAUAAAAUGAAGUGCAAAAGUUUAAGUGAUGAUGGAAUCUUUGCAAAAGGUCAUACCAUCAGUCCAAGAUUCAUCGCCACCAGUGUUUUAGGAUAACAGAUUACUUCAGAUCGAGUUUCGAGAUAUUGUCUUAUGAGAAAGAGAAUCUGUAACUAUUAUCUUUCUACCAGAAAUAUUAAAUGUCGAAACAGAAUGAAGUGACAAAGUUCGAAAUUCCUUUGUAAAACGUUCCUGCUAUUGGACAAACUCACCCACUGCACCACACGAAACUCCGAGUCGUUCACAAUUUGGUUACAAUAACCCAGUAUUAUUAUAUUAUGGGGGAGUAUUUCAAAACAUUCCCAAGUGUAUUAUUUGUACGCAUUAUAUCGAGUAUAUUCAGGAUUCAUUUUCUUGAGACUUUAACGAUUUCCAUACAGCGCAUUCUCCAACAAUAACUAAGGAAACAUUUAUACAUAUUAUGGAGGUAUGGCCUGUAGGUAACGUUCUGUAUCGUGAAUGCAUUCCUGUUAGUACGUGAGCGUAAGUACAUGUGUGUUUUUGUGAAGUAAAAAUGACGAUUACUGCUCCUAACCAUCUCUAAGCUUUCCUAAUGAGAUUGUUCAAAAAUGUGUUGAUGACUAAUAUCUUAACUACUAUAUUAACUCAUGGUAUAAUCGAAUCUUCGUUCUGUUUAAAUGAAACAAGAUUAAUUAACCAACUUGUCAACAAACUAAUUUUUUUUAAAAUCCAUUAUGAGACAACUUGAAAGGGUUAGUGAUGUCAAAUAUUGCAAAUAUUCUUUAGGUAUUAGCUUGCAAUUUAACGUAAAUUACACACCGAGUAGUGCUGAAUAGCGCCCUCAGUCGCUUUUUUGGCGUAUACAUACAUACAUACAUACAUACAUACAUACAUACAUACAUACGUACAUACGCACAUACACACAUACACACAUACAUACAUACAUACAUACAUACAUACAUACAUACAUACAUACGUACAUACAUACAUGCAUACAUACAUACAUACAUACAUACGCACAUACAUACAUACAUACAUACACACAUACAUACAUACGUUCAUACAUACAUACAUACAUACAUACAUACAUACAUACGUACAUACGCACAUACAUACAUACAUAUAUACAAACAUACAUACAUACAUACAUACAUACAUACAUACAUACAUACAUACAUACAUACAUACAUACAUACAUACAUACAUACAUACAUACAUACAUACGUACAUACGCACAUACAUACAUACAUACAUACAUACAUACAUACAUACAUACAUAUAUUCAUACAUACAUACGUGCAUAUAUAUUCGCACAUAUAAUAUUGUAUAGAAUUUGUGCAUAGAAUUAUUAGAAAGAGAUUUCAGUUGCAAUGAAGUUAAAUAGGUUUUAUUCUGCGAUUAUUUUUUUCUUUCUAACCAGCCAUCAUGCAAAGUUUCUCCUUCCUAAAUGUAAUGGAUAACGCAGAAAAGAGGGAAAUAGACGGAUUGACUGAUAAAUCUAAAGCAGGAAUAAAACAAUUUCUUUUAGCUUUCAGUUCCUUGGUCCGUAUAAGUCUUCUCAGAUGCGACGAAGUUGUAACCUUUCAUCAAAGUAAUACCUGUGAUGCUGUAAAACUGAGGGCGUCGUAAACCUGAAUUCUGUUACACACGUAUGGCGCAUGGCUCAGUGGUUAGAGCGUCGAGCUUGCGAUCGUGAGGUUGUGAGUUCGAAUCCCGGCCCGGGCUGCGUGUUGUGUUCUUGAGCAAGACACUUUAUUUCACGUUGCUCCAGUUCACUCAGCUGUAGAAAUGGGUUGCGAUGUCACAAGUGCCAAGCUGUAUCGGCCCCUUUGCCUUUUCCUUGGAUAAUACUGGUGGCGUGGAGAGGGGAGGUCGGUAUGCAUGGGCGACUGCUGGUCUUCCAUAAAUAAUCUUGCCCGGACUUGUGCCGGGGAGGGUAAAUUUCUAGGUGCAAUCCCACGGUCAGUCAUGACCGAAGGAGGUCUCAAUAAGUUACAUACAUACCUACUUUCUGAAGACAGAUAAUCUCUCCCAAAUUGAUUUCACCCGGAUACACCACGGUGUCCUAAUCUAUUCAAUGUUUUCCCUUUGAUACGAUGGAUCAUGGGAAAUCCCGCGCUUGUAUGUCGAUGCGUCUCCCUGUAUAUUAUUCAUCUUAUUAUUGUAACAAGUUUCAAACCUCAGUGACCACUCACUGAUUUUAUUGCUAUGUCGUCCUUAAUGCAAAUAUUCUUCAUCAAAACUAAUUCAAUGUGAUUUGGCUUAUUUUAUUCCACCACGUCUAAGCCUUUCGUUUUUACCACAAGAAUUCCAUCACGUUUCUCGUGAUUGUAUCGUAGAUUCCGUCAGCUUUGCUUCUUUUGUUCUUCAUUUUUUAUUUUCCUUGCUUGUUUUUUUUUUUUUUUUUGGCUUUUGUUUAGUUGUUUGUUAAAAACCUACGACUGGCAUUCUGAAUAUUUUCUUCCAUGUGUGUAACAAACCGUAAAUAUCUACAUCUAAUCAAUUGUAUUCCUCGCCAGCAAUCAUAGUAUCUAUUGUUCCUGGAUUUGGACAAUAUCCAAUAUGAUAGAUUUUUGUUUUUUGAUGAAAUAAUGAAAUUUUAACCACAAUAUCAAACUUUUGUUUCCAGAAUGAAUUAAGCUAACCUUAUUACCGCGGCACUGAUGAUCGUAAAGUAACCAUAAAUUAUAUAACAAUUCCAGAGAAGCGAUACGUUGCCCAUUAUAGGUGGAAAAAGUUCAGUUAUAAUGCCAAUUUGAUGAGAUAAUGAUUUCUUUUGAUUAAGCAUACACAAGCUUAAUUUUUGUAAAGGGAGAGGUGAAUCGCUUGAAUCAAAAACAAUAUUUAUUUUAUCGAUUUUGUACGGAAAAGGAAAGAAUAAAAUCGCUCCCAUUGGAAUUUGCAAUAUCGAUGUAGAAGGAUGAGUUUGAAUAUUGCCAACAAUAACUAAAACCCUCCACCCUACUCUCCACGAUCUCAUCUGGGCCAAUUAGCCAAGGACGAGUUUUUGUAGUUGUUUGGCAUGCUAGAAAUAGUUGCUAAAUCUCACUCUCCUUAAAUACCUUUAAAACUGAAGAUUAUAUUAAAUAAUCAUAUCUCCAUCUAAACUUUAAAAUAGCAGGAUGGAAAUGUCUGGAAUACUUGAUUAUAUUAAGCUGCUGGUGUUACGGGUUUCGGUUCAUGACCAUAAGGACACGAGUUCAAAUACGAGAACUGUCGGUGAGUUAUGUCCUUGAGAAUGACACUUUAUUUCUUGUUACACUACUCUAGUCAGUUGUAAUGAGUACUAGCUACAAACUGGUGUAGCUCUCUCCCUUUCUCUCUGUAUCGCGCUCUCUACCUCUCUCCUGCUCUUGCCCUUUCCCCCCUCUCUCUCUUUCUUUCUCUCUUUCCAUCUAGGCUGGCAUAUCCUGGAUGUUCUGCUGCGUCAAACUGAAAGACACCGAAAUGAUGCCUUUCUCUGUUGGUAACUACAUAGGCACGUAAAAUAAUUUGUGGAAGAUUGACGCUCGCUUCGAAACUAUAAACACUCGUGAUAGAAAACCUGCUCAUAUUUGACAUGGGGCUAAUAAACUCAAGUAACACAACACACAUUUAAGGGAAAAUAUCAUUCGUAAUUUAACAAUCUGUAACAUAAACUUUAGUGUGAUUUCUGCUGUCUCCAGAAUACACAUUAUAUCUGAAAUAUAUUCCGUAUUCAUGAAGUGUAAUAUAUCAAUAUGCAUCAGAAUUUCCUUCGUCUUAUGGUUCUUUAUUGAAUUUUAUGAAGAGGAAACUAAGAAUGGACAUAUUGGAUAAUAUAUUACUGAUAUAGUAAAACUGAAUACAAAGUGGUGGUCAGUUCUGGAAUGACUUUUCCUCGUAAAACUGCUCGGUGAGUUCUGGCUUGGGUUAAUCAACAACUCAAAUAGCCAAUGAGUUUCAGUAUAAUUACUUUUAAAACAUGUAUAAUCUAAGGUACAGAUUAAUAUAUUUAAUAUAUCGAGGCUAUAACGGCUGGAUUAUGCUUGCAUCGGUUCACUUUUUUUCAUUAUUAUUAGUUGUUGCAAAGCUGGGUAGUUGCAGAGUGGCUAAUGGAAUUGAAAAACGUAUAUAAUUGACCAAUAUUCUAUCCAUGUCCAAUAAUAUAACAUGAAAAAUUAACAGGCCGAGAAUUUGAGCUUCAAGUGCUGAAUGGUAGAUCUUAAAGACUUAAACAUAUAAAAUCCGACUCUAAUGUUCCUUCUAAUUUACCGUUCUUAUAAGCUUCUAGAUUAAAUCCUCCAAAACUUAGUCUCUACAAAGGAUCAACCAAAAUCGAUGCCCUUUAAUUUCGAUCAUGCUACAGAAAUCGCACUUUCUUGUACUUGAGAAUAAUAUGUAUGGAAAGGAAGUCCCAAGAUUCUAUUAAAUUAAACCUUGUAAUCUACAAAACUGCGAUCAACGCAAUAGCUUUCAACUGGUUGACAUCCAGGAUCAAGCAUUUAUGCCACAGGAGAAUAAAAGAAUAAAUUCUUUAAUAUAUUUCUUGGUGUUGAAGUAAUUUAGCAUAAAGUGCUAUGGAUUUUCUUUGAGAGGAAUUACAAGACUGGUCCGUCAUAGUUAUAAUAAAAAUAAUCACGAGAUUCUGACAACUGCAGUUCCAGAAUUGAUCUCAAGUAUGUGUAUUAAAACUUGGUACGUUGCAUGGAAAAGUCUUGGCAUCGUAUUCAUGUCAGGAUUUCUAUUAAUUGUCAGAAGAGAACACUGCUGAAUUAAGAGCUGAGGGGAUCACUCAUUGUUCACUUAAAUUAUAUAUUCUGGAACAACACUCAACCGGAAAUAGCUAAUAAAAAAAUAUUUGCAAGUAUAUAUGCGUGCGCGUUCGUAUAUGUAUAUGUGUAUGUGUGUACAUAUUUAUAAGUUGUAUAUAUAUAUAUAUAUAUAUAUAUAUAUAUAUAUAUAUAUAUAUAUAUAUAUAUAUACAUACAUAUAUAUUUACACGUGCAGGCGUUGCUGUGUGAAAGAGGCUUGCUUUCCAGUCACAUAGUUCCGUGAUCGAUCCUACUGCUCGGCACUUUGGGCAAUUAUCCGCUACUAUAACCUUGGGCCAACCGAAGUCCUCUGAGUGGAUUUUGGGAGACGGAAACUAAAUAAAACCCGUCGUAUAUUUGUGCAUAUAUGCGUAUAUGUAUAUACAUACAUAUACAUAAAUGAGUAAAUGAGUAAAUGAGUAAUAUAUAUAUAUGUAUAUAUAUUUGUGUGUGUGUGUGUGUGUGUGUGUCUUUAUAUCUGUAUUUGUCACCCGUCAGCUCUUGUUUACGUCCCCGUAAGUUGAACUCGCUACUCCAUUACGAGAAAGCCUGGUAAUUAGUGAUAUUCGUUCUGCAAUACUAUCAAUUAUAAACGUAUUUAAUAUACAUUUUAAAUAGAUGCUUUCUCGGGACAAAUAUCAGAAAUGUUUUACAUUUUCAACAAUGCAUCUGCUUUGAGUAUGAUACAGAUUUGUAUCUUGAACUAAUACUGAUUCUAUCGCUCAUAGCAAAAAGUAUGCUUGAGUCCGUGUGUACGUCUGUGUGUAUGUGUGUGUGUGUCUGUGUUUCUGUGUGUCUGUGUGACCGCGCACGCGUAUUGAUGUAUGAGUAUUUGCGUUCGUUAUUGUGUGUCUUGGGGGUGUAUGAUUUCAUGUUCUUAUGAAUUAAAUUGGAUGAGUCAUAAACAGAUUAACAUCGCUAAAUGAAGGUGAAUCAGUGUCUCCGUCUUGCUAAGCUAGAAGCCAGAAAUCUCUGCCAAACCUCUCAGCAUAUAAUUUUAUGUCCGUAACAUAAUAGAUGAAUAUGUUUAAUCGUAGAAGCACAUAAGCCAUAGACUUACAAUAGUAACGCAACAUCGCCACGUCGCCAUAAAGUAUUGAUUUUCAUAUAUAGACAUAUAUAUAUAUAUAUGUGUGUGUGUGUGUGUGUGUGUGUGUAUGUAUAUAUAUAUAUAUAUUUGAAUAUAGACAUAUAUAUGUAUACAUACAUAUAUAUAUUCAUGCGUGUAUGCUAAAUGUAAUUUGAAUGAUAUAUAUAUAUAUAUAUAGAUAGAUAGAUAGAUCAAUUGAGUGAUAGAUAUACAUAUAUAUACAUAUAUAUAUAUAUAUAUAUAUAUAUAUAUAUAUAUAUACAAAUAUACAUACAUAUAUACAUGUGUAUAUAUAUAUAUAUAUAUAUAUAUAUAUAUAUAUAUAUACAAAUAUACAUGCAUAUAUACAUGUAUAUAUAUAUAUGUGUAUGUAUGUAUGUAUGUAUGUAUGUAUGUAUGCAUGUAUGUGUGUAUGUACGUAUGUAUGUAUGUAUUGAAUUCAAUUUAUUUGAUAUCUACAAGUGACAAUGUUAAAACUAAAAUGAAUGACAGAAAAAUAAAUUUAACGCAUUCUAGCUGAAUUAGUGGAAGUUGUUUACAUAAAAUAUGAAUACAUACAUAUACAUAUUUAUACCCGUGUGUAUAAACAUAUGUAUUCACCUGUUAUGUAAACAUCUUCCUGUAAUUCUGCUAUAGUACAGUAUUUGUUUCUUUGUUCUCUCUUAUUUAUUUCAGUUUUAACAUCCUCACUUUUAAAUGAUAUCAAUUAAAUUGAAUUCAAUAAUUUUUAUUGUAUUCAAACUAAAGCGAACUGAAGAUAAUUGAUCAAGUUUCAAUAACAACAAUGCAUAAUGGUCACUCGAUUAUAAAAAUAGAAAGGAUAUAGACGUGAGUACAAUAAAGCCGUAUAGAUAUGGGAGUAAAUAUGUUCAUAAAAUAAUAAUUACAGCAAUAACAACUAAAUUGAAAUAAAGCCAUACGUUCAUAGAUUGUCUUAUCAAUAACAGAAGGAGAAACUGAUCAACUGGUAUUAAUGUUAUAUUGUAAACACUCCCCAGUCUGUUAUUAAUUAUUGUUUUAUUAUUGGCCAAGGUGGAAGGUUACAAGAAAUAUGUUUGUGUCUGUAUAUAUGUGUUUAUAUGUGUGACAUGUUGUGUGAACUGCUGGGAAAUAUUUCUGGCUGUAUUGACGUGUCUCAUGUGUUCCUGGAGUUGUAUUAGCCAAUGCAGAAGGUUAUAUCCAUUAUGUUUGUGCCUGUAUAUAUCUCUUUCUCUUUUACUUGUUUCAGUCAUUUGACUGCGGCCAUGCUGGAGCACCGCCUUUAAUCGAGUAACUCGACCCCAGGACUUAUUCUUUUGUAAGCCCAGUACUUAUUCUAUCGGUCUCUUUUGCCGAACCGCUAAGUGACGGGGACAUAAACACACCAGCAUCGGUUGUCAAGCAAUGCUAGGGGACAAACACAAACACACACAUGCAUACACAUAUAUAUAUAUACAUAUAUACGACGGGCUUCUUUCAGUUUCCGUCUACCAAAUCCACUCACUAGGCUUUGGUCGGCCCGACGCUAUAGUAGAAGACACUUACCCAAGGUGCCACGCAGUGGGACUGAACCCAGAACCAUGCGGUUGGUAGACAAGCUACUUACCACACAGCCACUCCUGUAUGUAUAUAAUAUGUGUGAUAUUUUGAGUGAACUGCUGGGAAAUAUUUCUGGUCGUUCUUGUGGUACUUGUUACUUCAUUUGCUGUAGUUGUAAUUCCUGCCCCAUCUAUUUCUCAUGUUAUUAUUUUCACUGCUGGUAUUGAGUUCGCUCUAACUUCUGAUUAUCUAUUGUCACUUGAUGUUGCUUUCUUUGUUUCCGGUCUUAGGACUUCUGUUUAUGUCAUGAAUACUAUUUCCAUUACCGGUUUGUUGUUGUUGCUGCCGUGUUUGUUUCUUUGUUUGUGGUGCGAAGUGGUCUUCGUCCCAGAGCUCGCAAGAUCGCGCCUCUGUAGUGGGAGAAGUCCGAAACGUGGUCCUUUGCUAUUCGUAAGAGCCACAGAAGAGAAAGCAGGUCAACCCCCGACACCGAGAGCAUCGAGUGAUGGAUGAAUGCGCAUCCGGGCUCAGCGGUUGCGUAGGAAGUCGGGGACAAGAAACAGGAAGAAAGCGUGAGAGAAAGUUGGAGCGAAAGUGUACAACAGGGGUCGCCACCACCCCCUGCCGCAGGCUCGUGGAGCUUUAGGCGUUUUCGCUCAAUAAACACACACAAUGCCCGGUCUGGGAAUCGAAGUUGCGAUCCUCCGACCGCGAGUCCGCUGCCCUAACCACUGGGCCAUUGCGCCUCCACUGUCGUUGCUGCCGUGUUUGUUGCACUGGCAGCAGUGACGCCGACAGUAGUGGCACCAGCAGCACUGGCGCCGGGAACGGAGGCGCCACCCCUUCUAUACCUUUUAGCUUUCAGCACAAACACCCAAAAUUAAUUGCAGCAUCACACAUGUAGAAACAGGCGUUGUUACCUUUCCCAAUCCCUAUCAUCUGAGUCUACUCGAUAUCGAUGGUUGCUUAGGGCCUCUUCCGAUCCAUUGAACCGUGUUAUUCAAACAUAUCGCUAACUAGAUUUAAGGUGUUUGUGUAUUUCUUGAACAGUAGCUUUGUUUUCUUCAUCGGCUGAGACACCCAUCACAAAACACGAUAUUUGUUUCUGGCAACACAUUCACAUACAUCAUCUGCGACACACAGUAGUCCUUAUACGAUGCGAUGAGGAUGAAAUCUCGUCCUUAGGCGGAACAUUGUAAUCAGUCUCACUUUACUCUGUAAGUGAAAUCCUGCAUCCAUCAUUCCAAAAAUCUAUCGCGAAUCACGAAAGUUUUCUUUUUUUCUAUUUAAGACAACAUUGCUAUACAUUAGCCACACAGCUAUCGUUAUGGAAAUUGAAGGAAUAAAAUUCUGGCAAUACAUUUCGAAACUGUUAAUGUUCCUGUUUUUUUCCCACUUUCUACAUAAGCAUAAGGCCUUUCAUUUUUUUUAGAAGGGUGGUAAGUUGAUUACAAUAACGCCAGUACUCAACCGGUUAUUAUUUUAUUGACUCCAUAAGGCGGCGAGCUGGCAGAAACGUUAGCACGCAAGGGCGAAAUGCUUAGCGGUAUUUCGUCUGCCGCUACAUUCUGAGUUCAAAUUCCUCUAUGGUCGACUUUGCCUUUCAUCCUUUCGGGGUCGAUAAAUAAGGUACCAGUUACGCACUGGGGUCGAUGUAAUCGACUUAAUCCGUUUGUCUGUCCUUGUUUGUCUCCUCUGUGUUUAGCCCUUUGUGGGCAAUAAAGAAAUAAUUAUUUUAUUGACUCCAAAGGAAUAAAAGACAACGUCAAUCUCAGUGGAAUGUGAGCUCAGAACGUAAAACCGUUUGAAAUGCUGCUGACCAUUCUGUCUAGCGUGCUAACCGUUCUGUCAGCUCGACGCCUUAAUAAUAAUAAUAAUAAUAAUAAUCCUUUCUUCAAUAAAUACAAGGCUUGAAAUAUUUGUGGAAUGAUCCCAAUCGAUAACAUCAACCCCAGUAUUUUAUCAACCCCGAAAGGCUGAAAGACAGACUCGACCUCGGUGGAAUUUGAACUCAGAACGUAAAAGAGAGACAAAAUGCCAUUCAGGAUUUUUUUUCUAUCUUGCCUUUUCGUCACUUUCUGCUUCAUUUAACGGUUAGUACACUCCUUUAACUCUAUGAUUACUACAAAAAAUUAUUCCUAGCACAUUACACUAGUAGUUAAUUGCAGAGGGAGUUAAAAGUGCAAUGUUAAGUAUUUUGCGAAUGAAAAAAAAACCCAAUUCAUUCGGAGGAUAAAUAUAUAUAGCUUAUGUCUUUCAGUUCCUGAUGCCCUAGAGGAUUAAGGAGUAAUUAAGAACUCGUUUCAACUAAAUGAUGUGUUAAAUAGCUUUUUUAUAUCACGUUACGAACUUUUCAAAUGAGAGGAGUAGAGAAAAUUAAAAGCAGGAUAGAAAGAUAAGGUGACGUAUAAACGAUUUAUUGAAUAGCAGGAGCCUGCAAAUUCGAGCUUCGAGCUCGAAGAAUUAGUAAGACAAGUUGCAUUAAAGAAUCAUGUUAAGCUUAAUGGUUCGAUCAGAAUUGUCUUUUUUAUAUCCUAACUUAAUUAUAUAAAUUUAGUUUCCAACUAAGCUUUCUUUCUGAUUUGCCAGUAAAUAUAAAAUUCCUGAAAUGUCAUUAGAAAUAAUAAAUUCUGCAAACAAAAAAACCAUUUAGGAGUCGUCUCUCGUUUCAUUUAUUUUGUGUCUUUCUUUUGUUUUUGUUUUAUUUUUGUUUGCCUGUAAAUACCAAAUAUAUGGCAAUGUGCUGCAAGUGUAGUGAGGAAAGAACAGUGGGAAUCGUUUGAAAGAAAGCAUGAUUUUAUUACACUACACUUGUAAUGUACUGCGAAAGAAAGAGUCAGAAUCGCUAGUGGAGAAUCGGGUUUAGACAAUACACGAUGAAUAGUAUAGGCGGCGAACUUACAGAAACGUUAGUGCGCCGGGCGAAAUGCUUAGCGGUAUUUCGUCUGUCGUUACGUUGUGAGUUCAAAUUCCGCCGAGGUCGACUUGGGCCUUUCAUCCUUUCGGGGUCGAUAAAUAAAGCACCUGUUUCGCACUGGGGCCGAUGUAAUCGACUUAAUCCGUUUGUCUGUCCUUGUUUGUCCCCUUUAUGUUUAGACCCUUGUGGGUAAUAAAGAAAUAAGUAUUUCGUCUGACGUUACGUUCUGAGUUCAAAUUACGCCAGGUCGACUUGGGCCUUUCAUCCUUUCGGGGUCGAUAAAUAAAGCACCUGUUUCGCACUGGGGCCGAUGUAAUCGACUUAAUCCGUUUGUCUGUCCUUGUUUGUCCCCUUUAUGUUUAGACCCUUGUGGGUAAUAAAGAAAUAAGUAUUUCGUCUGACGUUACGUUCUGAGUUCAAAUUACGCCAAGGUCGACUUGGGCCUUUCAUCCUUUCGGGGUCGAUAAAUAAAGCACCUGUUUCGCACUGGGGCCGAUGUAAUCGACUUAAUCCGUUUGUCUGUCCUUGUUUGUCCCCUUUGUGUUUAGACCCUUGUGGGUAAUAAAGAAAUAGGUAUUUCGUCUGACGUUACGUUCUGAGUUCAAAUUCCGCCGAGGUCGACUUGGGCCUCUCAUCCUUUCGGGGUCGAUAAAUAAAGCACCUGUUUCGCACUGGGGCCGAUGUAAUCGACUUAAUCCCUUUGUCUGUCUCUGUUGGUCCCCUCUGUGUUUAGCCCCUUGUGGGUAAUAAAGAAACAGGUAUUUCGUCUGUCGCAACGUUCUGAGUUCAAAUUCCGCCGAGGUCGACUUUGCCUUUCAUCCUUUUGAGGUCGAUAAAUAAAGUACCAGUUUCGCACUGGGGUCGAAAUAAUCGACUUAAUCCGCUUGCCUGUCCUUGUUUGUCUCCUCUAUGUUUGGCCCCUUGUGGGUAGUAAAGAAUUUGAAUACACAAUGAAUAGUUUGGUAUUUAUCUUCACACACACACACACACACACACACACACACACACACACGUAUAUGUACGUGUAUUUCUACGUGCGUUUCACAUAUUCGUAUAAUCUUGUGUUAUAUUUAAGGAAAAAAAAGGUACUUCUCCUCGCAGAGCUUUCAUACUUCCGGCAACUGAAUCUUUAAGAGCAAUAAUAGAAGAGUUAGACAGUAAAAAAAAAUUAUUUGCCCUAUUCCACUUCUUUAUGCUUUAAUUUCAAAUCCAGUUGGCGUCUACUUUAUUUUCAUCCAGAUACUAUAUACGGUCGCCGUUAAGUCGAUUAUAUCCAUAAUUCGCCUUACCUCAAAACUUUUGGGUUUAAAUUAAAAUUAUAAUGUUUUACUGUUGGCUACGACUAAGACAUCAAGUGUGUAUCCUAGUGUUGGGCUUUGACAUGAUGUCUAGCUAAUAUAAUUCUUCUAAAGAUGAGAUAUUGGGAAAUGUUAUCUGGAAGUGAAUUUCGUCCAUAUAUUUAAAUAAGGUAUUUUCCCUAUAUACUUUGUGAUAGGUGGAUACUUUCAAAUGCUUCAUUAUAAAAAUAAUGUGCAUAUAUAUAUAUAUGUAUGUAUGUAUGUAUGUAUGUAUGUAUGUAUGUAUGUAUGUAUGUAUGUAUGUAUGUAUGUAUGUAUGUAUGUAUGUGUGUGUGUGUAUGUAUGUAUGUAUGUAUGUAUGUAUGUAUGUAUGUAUGUAUGUAUGUAUGUAUGUAUGUGGAAAAAGAAUCAAGGUAGAAAAUGAUAAAAUAAGUUUAUAAAAAACAUUUCAGUACCGGUUUCGGUCAUUGAAACUUUUUCAAGUGUAAGUAUGGAAAACAAUUAAAGUUGAUCCCUGAAUUAAAUUGACGCAUAUUCCACAGUUGGGUCUUAAACAUUUUUUUACUGACGGUUUCAGUUGAGCGUAUUCGGGCUUAUGUUAGGAAACUUUUUAUAGAUUUGGGCUGUCUCUUGCUUUUUAUGAUGGUGUGUGUUUGGAGGAUUAAGUACAUUCUGUGGUCCUUUUUAGCUGGAUGAUGUUCUCCAGGAUGAUGCCGAAGGCUUCAUUUUUAAGAGGGUUGUGUGUGAUGUAUGGUAGGGCUUUUGGUUCUAAAUCUUUCUUUAAUCUGGGAUGUCUGAAUUCGUAGAUGUUGAGUUGUAGGGCACGUUGAAAGCAUAUGUCGAUUAGUGAAGGUGGGUAGUGCCUGGUGAUGAGUGUAUCGUUUAAUGCAUGUAGUCGUGCGUCCCUGGUGCUUGCAUUAGAAGCUAUAGUAUAUAUCCUUUUUUGUUAGGUUGAAGGGGAUAUUUAUUCCGGUGUGUCUGGGGUGGCAUGAGUUGAACAGUAGAGACUGCUUAGAGUAUAUAUCUGCUUCUAACCGGUACUCAAAUGUUUUUUAUAAAAUUAUUUCAGCAUUUUUUACCUUGACUUUUUUCUACAUAUAUAUAUAUAUAUCAACUCGUGUGUUCCUUUUCAACCUUCUACACACACACACACACAUAUAUAUAUAUAUAUAUAUAUAUAUAUAUAUAUAUAUAUAUAUAUAUAUAUAUAUAUAUAUAUAUAUAUUCGUUAAACAUAUUCCAGUGCAGUAUUAAACAAUCCUACAAAUUUGUUACAUUAACGUCGUUCGAAAAUCAGAAUAACAACAUUAUAAUAAUUCAAUCUAACAAUUCAUUCAGUUCUCUCUUAAGCGUAGAUAUAAUUCCUAGCUACAAGUUUGUGGAAUAAUUUAGUACUCCAUUAGUAUGUGUAAUUAGUAUGAUAUAUAAUCACAAGUCUCUUUCACUGAAAAAACAUAUUUCACUUCUCACGAUGCUAAUAAACCUUUGCAAACUGAUUGUAUAUACCCAAAACAACUUUCUUUUCACCAUAAGCUAUUCAUUCAAAAUUACUUAUCUCUCGUUACUGUUCAUUUGCCUUAAGCCACUUGUGUAUAUAAUAAUAACGGUCCACUACAAUUAUUUGAUUCUAUGUUCCCAACGUCUUAAAUAAAAUGGGUUUCAUGAAGUGAAUUCCUGCAACACUGGAAGUAAUUUCUUUUUCUCUAAUGUAGACUUUACAUUUUGUGGAAUUUUUUAGCAGUUUCAUUUUGUCGUAUUUUGUAUAAAUGUAGAUAUUUAAUGUCGCUCUGCGAUCACUUCCAUACCUGACGCUUAGUACACCUGUCAUUUCUAUACCUGACGCUUAGUACACCUGUUCUUCUUUCUCUAUUCUAGAAAUUACUGGUACUUCAUAUAUGUAAAAAACAAUCUUUACACAUGGCUAGAAGUAUAUUGAGUUCUUCAUAACCAGCUGAUCUAGCAAGCGGGGCCUCAUUUGAGUGAGUGGGGGGGCGGGGCGCAUUGAUGCCGUCGAGAGGUAGGCCCCGAAACGGCGCGCAUUCUCUCCUGAUGACCCCAUACACUUGCUAGCUUCCGGUAUACGGAGAUUUUAACUGGUAGCAUUUGCAUGUGCAAGUUGUUUGCAAGACAUUUAUAUAUUCUGAUAUUUGUUUAAAACAAAUAAAUAGAUAUAACAUAAUGUCUAACAGUUGAUGUACAUCACUCCAUUUUCUUCUUGGCGUAUAAAUUAAGGGUAAAACCACAUUUUAGCCUCGCCCAUUUAUUACGCUCAGUAGGGUAACUGCAAUACAACAUUGCCACACAACACUCGGUUCAGGAAUAUGGAAUGUGGCAGUGCCGUACCUAUUAUGUUUAGUCGAAAUCGAAGAGAAGAAAUGCGGGCCUGUGAAGUUAGUCAAUUGAAUCCAAUCGCCAAAAUGGAGAAGGAACUAUUUGUAUGACCAUGGUAAUGUGGAAAUGCUCGGAAAAGAAUAUAGAAACAAAAUAAACAGAAAUUUUGUAGUAAUAGCCAAAGAAUGCCGACUUGAAGCAGGUGUUCCUUUUACAUUUUAGCAGUAUUUCAUUUAAUUUAUAUGAUGUAACAUUUUAAGACCAGGAAAUACAAAUUAAUCUUCACCUCGUGGUUUUGCAGGAAGUUAAAGUUCUCCUAAAGCAGAGAGUCCCUUAACUCAAUCAUCUGAUUAAUCGCAUGAAUCAAAUGCACAUUCUGGAAACUUCUAAUACGACUAAAAGCAAAUCAACUGACAGCGCGUGGGCAUCAAUGUUUAGUGGUCCAUCUAAUUUAACUUGCAAUUUAUGAAAUUUAUUAAAAUCCCUGACAUCACAUUAAUUUAUAGUUAUUUUUGGUUAAUAUACCCUACCCCACUAAAAGUCAUUUUUAAUAAAUAAAUUAUAAGGUACUAGCAGUAUCGCCCGGCGUUGCUCGGGUUUGUAAGGGAAAUAACUAUAUAAGCAUUUUUAGAGAGUUACUUACCUUAUAGAUGCCAAUUCGGGCUUUCUUAGCCAUUUCUGUUUUGGUGUCUUCAAGACAUGAAGUCGUUGUUCUAAAAGAACGCCGGUCUCCUUGACAACGCUUUACGACGUUGAUUUCCUUACACUCCCUUCCCCACAGCUUCACGAGGGAGGGAAGAAGGGGGAGAAGCAAACACAGGUGCAGGUGUUUGAGCGUGGACACCAACUCCGCCGCCAUCGACACACGAAAAAUUAUGCAUUAAAAUGGAAUAAAAAAUGAUGUUAAAUUAUUUUUAAAAUCGUAGACUCAUCUUAGACACGCGCUAAUACCCAGACGGGCUCGAUAUGAAUCACGACUAUAAGAUACCCGAAUUUGGUUAAACUGCACCGCAAAAUGUGGGAGUAGUUAGGAAUCUAAAUCGAAGGGGACAGACACUCACACAACUACAGUUUUAUAUAUAUAGAUAAUACAUGAACGUUUCUAAAUAUAUAUAAUUCCCAGAAAGUACCAAUUCCAAGUGUUGGUAUUUUUAACCGUGGGUAAAACGUUAUCGAUCAGACUUUCCAACUGAACAAGGGCAUUCCAUCCCUCACAACCCGAUAUUUUAAAGGAAGAUGCCUCGGUCUACAUUAUCUAAAGAGGGUUUUUUUUUAUCUAAAGGGGUUUGGAUAUAUAGAACUUCUAAUACAAGCACAUCGGGUAAUCGCAUAGAUCGCUCUAGGUUGUUAUCUGAAUCAAUGAUGGUAUAUUUUUAUGAAUUGUUACAGAUUCUGUAUGAAAAACACCGUUACUUGUAAUGCAAUUGUAUUGUUUUUCUCUAACUGUUUUGUAAGCGAGAAAUCCUAUCACUCAGUAUCUAGUUUCACAGACAUCCACUAUUUCAACGCUUACGAAAACUGCCCACAUAUUCCUUAUACAACAUCUUUAAUCUGCACCCUAAACAUUAAGAGCUGUCCACAUCUCUAUAUAUAUAAAUGGCAAAAUGUCUGUCUGUGUGUGUGUCCUUCAUACAAAUCCACAACUUUUCAAUUAGAGAGCUCGAACUUUCUUUCGUCAUUCAAGACCACCCAAGGGUGGUCGUGCACAUUUUUACAUUUUCCCAGUCACCCCACAAAGCCAUUAAAAAAUCAAUAGAAAUGACUUAUUUGUGAAUUUUCUAUCCAAAACCCAAUCAAAAUGCCCGAAACUUGAUACGCCAAUUGAAAGCCAGCUAGCUGUAUGUGAUUGGUCGGAGAUUUGGACAGCACUUGCGUGUAUGUGCGCACGCACGCAGCUGUAUAUGCAUGCACUAGCACUAUGACCCAGCAACGCCGGGUCAUAGUGCUAGUUUACCUAUAUGAUGCCACGUGUUGCAACGUUCUUCAUCUAUCUCCAACCCCAGUAUCGGUGUAAUCCUAUCACAACGUUGUACCUACAUUCGCUCCACAUGUUUUACUUAUUUACGGACAAAGACGCCAUCUUUAACUUUUCUUGAAGUCGAGGAUUUUUGUAAUCAUUCAUUCACCACCAAACAAAUGUACCCAGGUUUUCUAUAUUCCUUUCUCUCAUACUUGAAAUUGUGAGCUUGUCCCGCUGCAUUUUACUCUACAUGCUAUUCUCAAUCGUAAAUAUGUCUAACUUUCAGCUUCUGCAUUUUAUCUUUCGGUGUCGCAUAAUUUAUAUUAAAAUUCGCGUACAUCCCUCCAUGGUUAUAUUUAUGUCCUGAGGUAAUUUAACAACCUAAUGUUUUGUACUUUUUAUUUCCACCAUCUCUUAAUUAGCAUCUAUGUUCUUCAAUAUGUUCACGUUUGCCAGUUUCUCUUUUUGUUAUAAUUUCCCACCACUUGCAACAAUUAAUUUUCAACAACACCGCUGUUCAAGUCCCUUUACGCUUGCUAGUUCACACUUAUCUAUCUCAUUUUGCAUAUCUCUAUUCCUACGUUUCGACUAUCUGUGAACUCCUAAAUGUACUGUUUAUAUCGUGAGCCACUGCAGAGCUGCUAGAUUUUUGCAUAAUAUCUGAAGUUGUUUUAUAUUUUUCAUCAAAUAUAAAUGUUUGCACAUAGUGCUGUAAUUGCUUCACAGUCUUUGCAUUUUGCUCGUGUAUAAUUUAUUCUUUUGCACUUUUAUAGUUUUGCACUUUGCAACACUUGUAUGAGAUUCUCAUGUAGCUUUUAUCUGAUUAUCGCAAUUGUAUGCAUGCGCUAUGUUCAUGCAUAUAUUGGUGUGUAAGUAUAUGCGUACGUACCUUUAUGUGUUCAUCCGCAUAAAUACACACACACACAUGCAUAUAUGAUAUGUGUGUGCACACUUUAUAUGCAUGCUUAUAAAUGCGUAAUUGCAGGCAUAUUUGUACAUAUACAUGUAUGUGUUUGUGUAAGCGUGUGAAUGUGGUAUAAAUGGACUAAAUUUAUAUAUAGGAAUAUGAAUGUGCAUCUGAAGAUAUGCAUAGAAUGGAUAUAUAUAUAUAUAUAUAUAUAUAUAUACAUGGGUAUACUUAUACAUGUGUUCAUACGGAUCAUACACACACACACACACAUAUAAGCGCGUGUGAGCAUGUGUAUGUAUGAGUGUAUAUAUUUGUAGUUAUGCCUCCUAUCAGAAGAUACCCUCUCCACACACACAUACACACACUAUAUACUAAUACUGAUAUAGAUCAGCAAGUAAAAAUAUAUCCCUGCCACCACCCGUUCAUAAAAAAAAAAAAGCUAUCACAUUAGAAGAUUAAUGGCGUUUAUUUCGAUGAAAUUCGAUAAAAAUGUUCUUUGAAAUUUAUUCUUUCCUUAACAAACUGAUUCCUGUCUCCUCCAAACUUCUCUGUCACCGUUACCUUUCUUAUCGUGUCCAACCGCUUAUUAAACAUGUGCACACACCCCUUUCUCUUCCCCGCCUACUUCUUUUACUUUAUGCAGUUUCUUAUUCAUUGAGGUGUGUUUAUAUAUAUAUUUAUAUAUUUAUGUAUAUACACUUAAAUACUUUUGAGAAUUAUCUUAGAAUUGGAUUUUUACAUCCUGUUUUUUUUUUGUUCUUGUUCAUACACAUUUAUUCCUCGAUUUCAUCCGUUAUAGUUUCAAUACUUCGUUUACCUAAUCUUCUUCUUCUUCUUCUUCUUCUUCUUCUUCUUCUUCUUCUUCUUCUUCUUCUUCUUCUUCUUCUUCUUCUUCUUCUUCUUCUUCUUCUUCUUUCUUUCUUCUUCUUCUAAUGCUACUACUUUUCUUGUCUUUUUUGCUUUCGACGUCCUCACCACUAUAUUUGUUCUUCCUCUUUGUCUCCUUAAUCUCCUUCUCUAACUCUUUCACUUCUAAUACUGUUGAGGCUAUUAGCAGGCCGGGCGAAAUGCCUAGCGGUAUUUCGUCUGCAGUUACGUUCUGCGUUCAAAUUCCGCCGAAGUCGACUUUGCCUUUCAUCCUUUCGGGGUCGAUUAAAUAAGUACUAGUUACGCACAGGGGUCGAUGUAAUCGACUUUAUCCGUUUGUCUGUCCUUGUUUGUCCUCUCUGUGUUUAGCCCCUUGUGGGUAGUAAAGAAAUAGGUAUUUCGUCUGCCGCUACGUUCUGUGUUCAAAUUCCACCGAGGUCGACUUUGCCUUUCAUCCUUUCCGGGUCGAUAAAUUGAGUACUAGUUACGCACUGGGGUCGAUCAAAUCGAGUGAUUGCCUCCUCAAAUAUUUUCGGGCCUUGAAAUUGAGAGUGACUGUGAAAUUAGAUACUGAGUGUUAGUAUUUCCCGCUUACAAACCAUUUAGAGAAAAAACAAUACCAUUGCCUCGCAAGUUACGGUGUUUUUCAUACAGAAUCUGUAACAAUUCAUGAAAGAAUAGUAUUGAGACUAUUUCUUCUGUCUUCACGUUCCUUUUUCUUUGUUUUCCACAUCCUCAUAUUUGCUUUAUUGUAACUUAUGUUUACUCUCCUAAGUUUUCAUUUCUUUUUCCCGCUCCUACAUUCGUUCUUCUUACUACCAUCAUUUCCCCUGCAAGAUAUUCUUCACUCUGCCAUCUCAGAGAUCCAGCCAAGCUCCUUAAUUGUCAAACAACAAAAAUAAAAGCCAUUCGGUUAAAUCAAAUUCCAGCUACAGCUAUUCAAUCGCUUAUGUGGAGAAAAUAAUAAACACCUGAGUACGACUCACGGAUACUUUACCUUUGCUUAAAUAACAUUCCACUGUUCUUCAGAUAAUUGCGCACUAUUGCUUUUCAUUGGUUUUUGCACCUGCGUGUAACAAUAAUCUUUCAUAUAUACAAGCGUGACGAGGUAUGUUCCCUUGACGGGAUACGAAAGUUCAAGUCGCAUGCACCGACUAAAACUGCUAUUAAAUAAUAUAUACAUGUAUGUGUAUGUACAUAUAUAUAUAUAUAUAAAAUGUAUGAAUGUAUAUAUAUAUAUAGUGUAUAUAUAUAUAUAUAUAUAUAUAUAUAUAUAUAUAUAUAUGUACAUAUACAUACAUAUACAUACAUAUAUAUACAUAUAUAUAUAUGUAUAAAUAAAGAGGGGAGUGAGUGAGGAUACAGAUGUAUAUUGACUGAUAGAUACAUAGAUAAAUAGACAAAAAUACAUGUAGAUAGACAGACAGAUAGAUAGGUAGAUAGAUAGAUAGAUAGAUAGAUAGAUAGAUAGAUAGAUAGAUAGAUAGAUAGAUAGAUAGAUAGAUAUUGUUUCAGGUUUAACAGGGUCUAUGAUUCUAAAUAUAUGGUUUACAUAUUUGGUACAAUAUCUUGAUAUGAUUUCAACUUUGGUUGCAUAUUUUAAAGUAGGGGAUGUUCUCGACCGCCGUAAAUAUUUUUUUUUCAUUGAUAUUCCCCAAAUUCUAUAAAAUGUAUUAACACUGCACCUAUAGUUUAUUUCCGGGACUAGGAACUUGAAUUAAAAACUUACCAAGCUUCUCUCCUGUUUUUUUUUUUUUUUUUUUUUGUUAUUUAUAAUAUUUUUACUUUUUAACAUUUUAUAUUUUACAAUCUAUCAAUGUCGUGAUCUAAGCAUCGCAUGCUUUAUAUUAUUUAAUUCAAAGAAUCGAAACUCACGUUCAACGCUAAAAUUACUACAGUUCAAAGAAUCUUUUGAGUAGGUGUAAAUCGUACUGCAAAAAUUUUGUUGUUCUUAUUGUGAUUCUCUGUCUUGGUGAAAGUCGGUAAGACUUUCAUUAACAGACUCGUAGUAUUACUGAUGCAUGAAGUUGAAAUACUGGACUUUCUGAGAAUACUACGGCAAGAUCUGUUUUAAUCGAUAUACGUCUAUAUUAUGAUUAAAGUGCAUCCAGUAUUAAAGUGUAUAGGCGCAGGAGUGACUGUGUGGUAAGUAGCUUGUUUACCAACCACAUGGUUCCGGGUUCUGUCCCACUGCGUGGCACCUUGGGCAAGUGUCUUCUACUAUAGCCUCGGGCUGACCAAAGCCUUGUGAGUGGAUUUGGUAGACGGAAACUGAAAGAAGCCCGUCGUAUAUAUGUAUAUAUAUAUGUGUGUGUGUGUGUGUUUGUGUGUCUGUGUUUGUCCCCCUAGCACUGCUUGACAACCGAUGCUGGUGUGUUUAUGUCCCCGUUACUUAGCGGUUCGGCAAAAAGAGACCGAUAGAAUAAGUACUGGGCUUACAAAAGAAUAAGUCCCGGGGUCGAGUUGCUCGAUUAAAGGCGGUGCUCCAGCAUGGCCGCAGUCAAAUGACUGAAACAAGUAAAAGAGAGUAAAAGAGAGUAGGAAACAAACCCAGAUUAUGGACCUGGAGUAGUAAACGAAACAAUGUAAAAUCACUAUAUAUUUAAGAACCUCGUUUUUUUUUUUUUGUUCUUCCUUCGCAAGUUUUGACUAUCUAUAUAACAGAAUCUAUAAUUAUUGACUAAAGGAUUAUGAAUAAAUAUAGAUACAAAAUAAAGGCAGUACAGUUGCAUUUUUCUUCUUACUGCUAUUGCGAACCCAUAUUAAUGCAAUGCAAAGAGAGUUGAGUUCCGCUACAUUUAUCUCUAACGAAACAUAAUUCAACCCACUUCAAAAUUCCAGUAUUUCUUUUCUCUUUAUUGUUGUUGCUGUUGUUCUUUAUAUCGUUUGUUAUUAUAAUAUUUGUUGUUUUUAAACGAUUAGCUUGACAUCCGUCAUUUCUUCGAGAGCAGGUCAUAAUUCUAUGUAAAACUGUUUAACCUUUCAGUUGUGUUUGCUUCUUAGAACCACUUCUAUCUCUACACCGUAGAUUUGUGGAAAAAAUCUAGGGUAAAAUUAGUAUAGCGUGUGAAGCUGCAAGUCUACUUUAUCUAUUAUCCAUCUCGGAAACAGAGUUGAAACAAUCGAUCGAGCUACCGAAGGAAAAAGAAAAACAAAACAUUAGAUGUUUGAUUACUAAUGUGUAAGAGAAAAGUACACGCCUGCACAUUGGGAGUAGCUUCAGGGAUAAUAAUAUACUUGAAAACAACUAUUGUAGUUGGCGAAGGGAAAAACAUAAAAGAGGGAAAAUCGAAUGCAUUUUCUAUCACAACACACAUCAUAAUUUAUUCUGAACCCUUAAAAUGAAAUACUAUGCUAAAUAGAUAGAUAGGUGGGUAGAUGGAUAGAUAAAUAGAUAGAUAGAUAGAUAGAUAGAUAGAUAGAUAGAUAGAUAUAUAGACAGAUAGAUAGAUAGAUAGAUAGAUAGAUAGAUAGAUAGAUAGAUAGAUAGAUAGAUAGAUAGAUAGAUAUCGAAUGUAUUUUCUAUCACAACACACCUCAUAAUUUAUUCUGAACCCUUAAAAUGAGAUACUGUGCUAAAUAGAUAGAUAGAUAGGUAGAUAGAUAGAUAGAUAGAUAGAUAGAUAGAUAGAUAGAUAGAUAGAUAAGAUAGAUAAGAUAGAUAAGAUAGAUAGAUAGAUAGUUAGAUAGAUAGAUAGAUAGAUAGAUGGAGGGAGGGGGAGGAAGAAAGAGAGAGAGAGAGGUAUAGAUGGAUAGAUAGGUAGAUGGAGAUAUGUAUGUAUACCCUAAUUUGUUUUAAAUACUGUACUAUAUCACGUGAACUGAAAAACUAAAUAAACAAAUCGCGUUUGCUUUGAUUACAUUGUUGCUUAAUCCUAUGGACUAAGCAUCACACAUACACACAUAUAUGUAUAUACACACAAACACAUGUAUAAAUAUAUACAUAUAUAUAUAUACAUAUAUAUAUAUAUAUAUGUAUACAUGUAUAUAAGUAUAUUUAUAUAUAUAUAUGUAUGUAUAUAUGCAUGUGUGUGCAUAUAUUUAUAUAUACACACACACAUAUAUAUAUAUAUAUAUAUAUACAUAUAUAUAUAUACAUAUAUAUAUAUACAUAUAAAUCCUUAAAUCCUUAAAAAUGUUUUAGCCCGAAGGCCGCGGCCAUGCUGGGGCACCACCGCUGAAUGAGCCACACUAGUUUGUGAAUCCACCUCUGAUACGUGGCACUUGAUCAACAAGGGAGUUCGAUGCUGCUGCCCGCAUCCGUGUCUCCUGUCGUGAGGUAGGUUCAUCUGGGACUCCCAACAAGAAGAGAUCCAGUUUAGUUUUAAAGAAACCCACAUCCACACCAUGUAAGUCUCUCAGGCAUUUAGGGAGGAUGUUGAAAAGCUGUGGUCCUCUGAAACCCAAGCUGUUGCAGUAUCUGGACCUGUAUUUUGAUGGUGAUGUUGGAAUCCUUGGCACCAUGCAGCGGCGCCCCGUUCUGCGGUUGGAGUAACUUUGAAUGCCAAAGUUUGGGACAAGACCCUCCAGGAUUUUCCAGAUGUAUAUUACUGCAUAUCUCUCCCGCCUCCGCUCCAGGGAGAAGAGGUUUAAUACCUUCAGUCUUUCCCAGUAGCUGACAUAUAUAUAUAAAUGUUUAUAUAUAUAUAUAUAUAUAUAUAUGUAUACAUGUAUAUAUGUAUAUUAUAUAUAUAUAUAUAUAUGUAUGUAUAUAUGCAUGUGUGUGCAUAUAUUUAUAUACACACACACACAUAUAUAUAUAUAUAUAUACAUAUAUAUAUAUAAAUGCAUAUAUAUAUAUAUAUAUAUAUAUAUAUAUAUAUAUAUAUGUGUGUGUGUAUACCUAGCAUUAUUUAAAAUUAACAUGAAUGACAACAUGAAUGACAAAUAAAAAAUCAAAGUUUCUAACAUGAAAUAUUCUAUUACGUAAAUAUGUUUGCCGCUGGGAAAUAAUUUCGUAUUGUUGCGUUGCUCAUGAGCUGAAAAUUCUGUUCUUCUUGACAGGUACGCCUUCAUUACUACUCUAAAUGGCUUUCGUAAAAGCAGGAAUAUCAUUACUAAUUAUCACAUUCAGUGUUAUCCUUGAGUGUGUAUACUUGUAUAUAUGUAUGUAUGUAUAUAGAUAUAUAUGUGCGUGAGUGUGUGGAUUUGUGUGUAUGUUUGUUGACAGAUAGAACGCUAUAUAUAUAUAUAUAUAUAUAUAUAUAUAUAUAUAUAUAUAUAUAUAUAUAAACAUCAAGAAAUAAUCAUAUACGUGUAUGUUUGUAUAUAUGUAUCUGUAUAUAUAAAGCUGAGAGUGUGUGUUUGUAUGUAUGUGUACAUCACUAAAACUCGAGAACUAACAAACGGAUUUCAUUCAAAUUUUACACAUGCCUUACUUAGGGUCCAUGAAGUGUCAUGGGCGAAAAAUAGUCACAACUUUUUGCCUAAUGCGAUCCCGGAGCAAUCUCUUAUCUCUUACAGUGUUUCCGUGUAUAUGUAUAUAUAUAUAUAUAUAUAUAUAUAUAUAUAUAUAUAUAUAUAUAUAUAUACAUAUUUUCCAAUGGCUAUUGUGAAUCUAUAUCACUGUUCAACAAGGCUAAAUACAUAAUCAUUGUUGGUCUUUACAGGCCUCCCCAAGCACCUCUAAAGUGCUUUGAAGAGCGCCUCAACAAAAUCAAGUCGGUUUUUCAAAAAUACAACUCCAGAAACAUACUAGUGGUGGGUGAUUUUAACCUCCCUUAUAUAAACUGGCCUACAAUUACUCUGAAGUGAGGCAAAUGUUCUACAUCAGUCAAAGCAGCAGCAGAAUUACUCUUUAAUCUAAUGGAUAAAUUCUUUCUGACUCAGCAACUGCUCGAAUCAUGAAGACAGAAUAAAACGAUCUUGGAUCUAAUAUUAACCAACCACUCUAGCUCUGUUCACAGUAUCUCAGUUGAAAAAACUCUCCUCUCAGACUACAUGAUACUCUUCGAUUUUAAUUUCCGGCAUAUCAAUGCCAAACCAGCCAAUCCCACUCCACUGCACUUAUUUGACAACAUAGACUUCCAGAAAGCGGACUGCGGUGCAAUCAGAAAGGAUAUGUCCUUCACUCUUAGUUCCACCCAUAUUGAGACCACAUGACAGCACUUUGAGAACAUUGUCACCUAUACAUGCUCAAAACACGAUCCUACGAAAUUCACUAACACAAACAUAAAACGGCUCCCUAGAAAGAAAACAUAAACACUCAUCAGGUGCAUCAAAAGACUCAAUUAAAAAAUCAACAAAUUAAAAUACUACCACACACAACAUCCACAUUCAACAACAAUGAAAAGGCUGGAGUUGGAAAAACUUCAUCUGCAGACCGACAUGAAAAUCUACAUUAUAACUCUAUGAGCUGCAGAGGAACAGUGAUGAACCAAAAAAAUCAAACAGAACCCAAAAGUGUUCUAUUCUUAUGCAUAUAAGCAUAGAACCACUGUCUCACCCAUUGGCCCAUUGAUCGACAAUACUGCUCUUUAGUGAUCCCACUGAUAUUGACGUAAGGGAAGCGAAGGAAGUUCAUUCCCAACAUAAAAUCUCGGAUAUGACCUUCACUGCUUCAGCAGCCAUAAAUGAGACCAAAUACUAUUCUGCUGUAGGCCCUGAUAGAUUGACUGCAAGUCUCCUGAAGAAAUGUAGACACCAACUUGCAAUCCCUCUGACCAAUUUCUUUAGACUCUGGUCAUAUACCGAAACAGCUCCUAUCCCAGUCUGUCAUCCCGGUUUUCAAACAGAGAAAUAGAUCCCAGCUCUUACACCACAUUGAGGAUAUACUUAAAGCCUUGGGAAGAGGUUCAAACUCUGAUGUCAUAGAUCUUGACUUCGGUAAAGCCGUUCGACAGGGUUGACAAUAAUAUCUUACUCUCAAAAUUGACAAAUGUUGGAAUCCGUGGAAAAUUUCUUCCACUGGAUUGAGUAUUUCUUGGCGAAUAGAACACAACAUGUUGCGGUCGAUGGAGUUCAUUCGGCCCGUGGCUAUAGUAAAAAGACACUUGCCCAUGGUGCUACGCAGUGGGACGGAACCUGGAACUAUAUGGGUGGGAAGUAAGCUUCUUGAUACAAAACCAUAUAUAUAUAUAUAUAUAUAUAUAUAUAUAUAGAUAGAUAGAUAGAUAGAUAGAUAGAUAGAUAGAUAGAUAGAUAGAUAUGCACACACACAUACACAAAUGUGUGUGUGUGUGUGUGUAUCCGUAUAGACAUACAUAUUCACGGAAAAUAAUGGCCGAUUUUAAUCGACGUUAAUCGACAUGUUAAUCGACGUGGUCCGGUUCUGCUCCACGAGGUCACUAUGUUCUUGAAAAACUGGUCUUAUACAUAGGUUUAAUUAUUCAAACUAUGAUCCCUGAACGGUUAUACAUUUCUCUCACCGAUUAUCGAGGUCAUUUAUGCCACUUCGAUAUAAAUCCAAAAGCUUUGAUUCAAAGAAAUACUUGAAAUAAGUUUCGAUCUGCGUUUUGGAACGGAAGGAAUUUUGGCCUUAAAAAUAGUGUCAAGAUGCUUGAAAAAGGGAUUGCCGAUUGGUGUACAAUCAAGGGAAUAUAGAUGUGGCAAAAUGUCGUAUCCCCAAGUCCAUGAGCUUCUGCUGCAUCAAUCCGGAAGAGUAAGGUCGAGUGACCUCGUGGAGCAGAACCGGACCACGUCGAUUUUUUUAAAGACUCCGCCGGUUACGACGACGAGGGUCCCAGCUGAUACGAUCAACGGAACAGCUUGCUCGUGAAAUUAACGUGCAAAUGGCUGAGCAUUCCACAGACACGUGUACCCUUAACGUAGUUCUCGGGGAUAAUCAGCGUGACACAGAGAGUGACAAGGCCAACCCUUUGAAAUACAAGUACAACUCAUUUUUGCCAGCUGAGUGGACUGGAGCAACGUGAAAUAAAGUGUCUUGCUCAAGGACACAACGCGUCGCCGGGAAUCGAACUUACAACCUUACGAUCAUGAGCCGAAUGCCCUAACCACUAAGCCACGCACCCUCACCACCACGUCGAUUAACAUGUGCAGGUCUCAUUUUGAUCAAGUAAGCAAUCGUUUCUUCCGGUUGCUUACAGACACCAAGCAUAGGAAACAUUUCUCUGACACUUUGUCGUGGGUUUUGUUUGACUGAUGCUUUCAAAUGCUAAUCAUCAAGGGUGGAUGAACGUCCUCUCAUUCUCACUGCGGAAUCUCUCAAACCACCCUUUUUCGGUCCAAUCACAUAUAAACC